rnacentral:lncRNA from 1 species
AUAAAUAGAAAUAGAAAGAAUCAAAAAUUGGGGGAAAAAAAUAUACAACGUUUAUAUAUCAGUAUGUUACUGUUACAUUGCCCUGUCGUGGUCCCAAGAAAUCAUCAAGCUUUGUCCCACUGUCCAAACCAACGGCUACAUUCUACCCAACUGGAAAUUACCAGAUUUAGUUGAAGUCCACAAAUUGCUAGCUUGUAAAGGACCAUUUGUCCCUGCUUAGACACACCUCACAACCAAUAAAAAAUAAAAUACCACCAUUACACGUCUUUCAAAGCCUUAUCCCCGCGAUCAAUGGUAGCUAUUCAGAUCGAUGAAAGCAGAAUUGCUCUUGAUCAUUGCCACGUCUGCUCUAAUGAGUUGGAUCCCACGAUCCCUCCAAUCCUCCUACCUUAAAUAACACCUCAGAUUAAACCACUCUCCAGCGGCUGUUCACAUAUUUUUCAGAAGCCCACCUGCUCAAUCUAGAAACUCUUUUGCCUGCCUCUGUUUCUCUUCCCUGCUCUUGCUUUUCAAGAAAUGGGGAGCUUUGAGCAGAAAGUGAAGGAAAGGGCCAAGGAAUUGAAGAUCUUUUUCAAGAAAGGGGUGAAGAUUGUUGGAGAUUCAUGCAAGAAGGGAUGGUACAAGCUCAAGCACAUUAGGAAGAAAUGAUUUCAGGGAUUUUGUUCUGUCUCAGCCAAAAAAUUGUUUACGUUUUCUUUUUCUGCUUCUGACAAUUUUUUGGGUUAAUUUACCAGUUGAGUUUUGUUUAGUUGUGGUAGGUGGUUUUGAUACAUGUAAAGGGAGUUUGGGUAAUUCUUGUGGUUUCUUUUCAUCUUUCAAUUUGUUACAACUACCCUCAAUCCUUGAGCUUGAGUUGCUUUUUACUAUGUUACAAGAUUGAUUGAGAUUCAUUAACUUUGUUGCUGUACCCCUUAGGUGAUGUGAUGAUGUAUUUUGUGGUUUAUCCAUAUUGCUAGGAAAGACAUGGAACAGGAAAUCUAUUACAAUCAAAUUCAUCAAAAUUGAAAAGCAGAAAGAAUGGUUUUGAUUUUGAAUUGAGAUGGCAAAGAAAUUUAAAUCUUUAUCAACUUGGCAAAAAAAAAACAAAAUCUUGAAAUUAAGUUGAAUUCCUUGUAGUUAAAAUAUGAGAAAGCCAUUGGGAACUCUAAUAUAGAGAGAAACAACAUCAGUAGCAUAGCAAAUUUACAAUUUUCUAGUACUCUUUCUGCUUUUUAUUUCUCUGUUUUGAUUCAUUGCCUGGUCCAGACAACUAGACUCUUCUAGCUCAAGCAUACCAGUUUAACAACAGAAGCUUGUACCUGGAAUUUAAUUUGCAGCCAAGAUCAAAUUUGCAGGAAACCCUGUUCAGUUCGUUCUGCCCUUAACAAUUUCUUGUGUUAUUCAUAAACAAAAAUUUCUCUCGGCGCUUGUGUACUCGGAUCCAGGCGCAGUAGAACUCUCAUUUGACAGCAGUGAAUACUAUGUUUAAACAUCCCCAGCCUGUUAAAAGUAUUCUAGAUUGUGAGAAAUUAAGAUAAACUUUUAAGUGUGUCUAACAAUUGAGCAAAUUGGAGUGGUUGUUAAGCUGUUGCAGAAAAUGAAUUGUUUGUAUCUUUGUUUUUUUCUAAGGAAUGGUUUGUAACUUUACUUUGUCAGUGUAAAAAAUUUCUCUUUUUUGUCAUGUUAGCAAGUUUAAAUUUGUUUUCUUUUUUGGUCAAGAUGUUAGCAAGUGUAAAUGCAUAGAGUAAAAGUAGAAUUUUAUCAUCUACUCUAGCUAAUGAAAAACCCCAUUGCUCUUUUUCUCCCUCAUUUUAUCCCUCUUUUUUCUCCUCAUUGCUUUUCAAAUCCCACAUUUCCUCUUCUUUGGUAAGAUUUUUCUUUUAAAGUACUACUAUUUUCUAAUUGAGAUGCAUGACAUCUUUUGACUUAGUUAAAGCAUUGUUUAUUUUUUAUUUUUUGGUCGAGGGGUGACUCCUUAUUAAAAUAAAGUAAGUAAUUAAAGACAAACUUGAAAAAUCUCUCCUUACCUGAAUUUUAGUUGUGCAGGGUGAUUGGACAUAAUUUACCCCUUAUGUACAUGUUUAUGUGUUUCAUCAGAAAGACGAAAAAAAAUCAAAGAAAAAGUAUUUUUUUUUAUCAGCAACGAUAUAUUUGUAUAACCUACUCUAUCCUAAUCUAGGGGGAGGGGAGCCUAAAGAAGCUGUUGUAGGAGUUAGUGGGUAUACAGAUUCAAUUAGACCAAUGGAAUGUUAUGACACAAUCUUUAAAUUUUUUUCGCUACUUGUGAGGUUUGAACUCUCACCAACAGCCCAAGGAGGGACUAAGUCCGUCCCUGGUGGCCACUGAGCCAUUGGCCCAGUGGUUCCAAAGAAAAAGUAUGGCUCAGUGGCUCCAAAGAAAAAGUACUUGUGCGUUUGAAUCUUAAUUUUAAGUUUCUCUUUUAUUCUUAGACAGUCCCACUAUGAGGGGAUUUGUACAUACAACAUUUCAAGACCAAGAAGUGAAGUAUCUUGAUUGGAUUUUUCCAAUUAAGAUGCAUUAAUCAAGUCUCACUAUGAGGGGAUUUGUCCGAAGUUUGGGAAGUCAUUAUAAGGGGUUUCAUCCAAAUUUCGGAAAAAAAAAGAGAAGAAAUCAGUAGGCUGGAAGAUCAUAGGUUUUUCUAACUUCCAUGAUUUGCUGCUUGAAUUUGUAACAAGGCUAUGGUUUAUAUUUAACAUUACCAAACUUGCAAAUAAAGACAUAAAUUCACCAAAGUUACAAAUAAAAAUAAUAUGUUUUUUGAGGAAGAAUAAUAAAGAACUAAUCUUGUUUUGCAGUGCUAUGUAGUUGUGAUGAAGAUGAAUGGAAUAUAAAUUGUAGGGAAAAAUGGUGGACUGGGCAGUAUAGCGUACGUAGCAUGUAGGUCAUUGCAAACGAUAACUUUUUGUGAAUAUGAAGGUAUAGGAAGAAAGUAGGUAACUGGAAGAGUGUCAUAUACAGGAUGGGUAUUUGUGAUUUGAAUGAAGGGUGUUAACCGGUGAACUAUACGUUCAUUGAUGAGGUGUCACAAUUUUGUUAACAGUCAAUGAACUAAAUGUGCAUAAAACAACAGCUUGGCAAAGUGAUGCUCAUUGAGUACUCGCUGAAAGGGUCUCAAGUGUUAAUUUUUUUAAAAAAAUAUAGUUCAUUCGGAAAAGUAUUAAAAUUCAUGCGGUGCAAUAAAUUUCAGUAUAUGUAUUUAAAUGGUAAUUUAGUUAUGAUUUAAGUGUCUUAAAAAAGUGGGCAGCUAUUAGAAAAAUCCAUAAAACAAUCAUUCUUAAUAUAUCUAUUUUAUAAAUAUAUACAUAUAUAUAUAUAUAUAUAUAUAUAUAUAUCUUAGUUCAUAAAACAACAGUUUGGCAAACCGAUACUCAUUGAGCACUCGCUAAAAGGGCCUCGAGUGUUAAUUUUUUUAAAAGGUGUAGUUCAUUCGGUAAAGUAUUAAAAUUCAUGUGGUGCAAUAAAUAUUAGUAUGUGUACUUACAUGGUAAUUUAGGUAUGAUUUAAGUGUCUUAACAAGCGGAUAGCUAUUAGAAAAAUCCAUAAAACAAUCAUUCUUAAUAUUUCUAUAUUAUAUAUAUAUAAUAAACGUUAUUUAUAAUUAUUUGUGCAGGACUUUAAUCUGGCCGAGCCUAAUAAAAUUUAUGUGUAGUUUACAUUUAAUUCGAGCCUUAUAUUUAGCCCUGCAUUCUACAUAGCCCAAUUAAACAUAGAGUGUGAUUGGAUAGGAGAUUAUUGGAGAUAAUUUUGUGAAAAAAAUACUGUAGAACUUCUUUAAUGGAGGAAACUUCUCAGACAUCCUCUAAACUGAGGAAACUUCUCAGACAUCCUCUAAACUAUCGCAUUUGCACGCUUUUGACCCUUCAACUAUAAAUUGUCACAAAUAAGCCAUUAAAUUAAAAAAAUACUUACUUUAAGGACUUCCGACAAUUUUGGUUGUUAGAAGUGACGAAAUUAGGGGCAAAACAGAUCAAACAAAAAAAUCAACCCACAAAAACAGCCUAAAAGGCCUCAUUGAAUGAUCAUUUCAUCAAAUUAGGGCCGGAAAAGAUGGAAGAAUAUGAAGAAACAUUAAAUUCUAUAUUAUUAGUUGGCUUAAUAUACCUAGUUUUUAAUCAAAUCAUGAGUUGAUUUAUCUGUUUGGUCGGUUUUGCCCCUAAUUCCAUUACAUUUAACCCCCAACAUCGAUGGAUUUAUAGCUGAGAAGCCAAAAUCGUGCAAAAUGAAUGGUUUAGAAACCUGUUAGAAAGUUUUCUCUUUUAAAUAUAACGUACGUGAAAUAAAAAAUAGUUAAAAAAUUUAUUUAUGAUGCAAGUAAAUAAAAUUGUGCAUAUAAUAUAAUGAUGUCCCUUUUGGUCAAUUGAAUCCAAACAUUUUGAUCAAUUGAAUAAGCUAAAGCAACAAAUAGCAAAUAAAAAAAUAAUCACAAAUCCAUGAUUAUAUCUCAUUCCCAAUUCACCCCAACAUUUUCACAAGCGUACGGGAAUCGGAAUCCUCUCAACAAAAUCCGAAUCUUACAUCCCUUUUAAUCACCUCCACUCCACUCCACCAUACUCCAACAAAACCCCCUCUAUCCAACCAUUUAUCACAUCUCACCAUCCAUUUUCAAAACGUCAACCUAUUCAACGGCUGAUCCAGAGCACAACCCAACUCCAGCCUUGACUUCGGUGUGUAUCUUAUCCAACCCAGCUUAAACUUAAUCCAAAAAUUCAGACAAAAAAAUAAAUAAUAAUUUUUUCUAUCAAAAUUCUGUUAAUUGUCGUUUCAAUUGUCCGUCGCCUUUCUCCCUCCCAACUAAAACUUUCGCGCUUUCUCUCUCUAGAAUUCUCCCUCUACCUAUACAUACAAAUUAUUUGUAUCUCUAUAACGUAAACGGAAUUCAAAUUUAUCCGAAUUAUUAUCGAACUUCUGUUAGAUCUGCGAGUUCACAGUAGUUUUUCCGGUUAAUUGCUUCGUCUUUAUUGCUUUAUCCAUUUUUUUUAAUCUAAAUUUUUACUUCGAUAAAUGGAGAUGAUGACAAUGGACGAAUCGCUUGUUCUGGAAAUGGAAAUUUACAGCUGUUAUGGAGUUGAAGUUGCUGAGGAUCGAAUAUGUCGAGGAAUUUUUCAGAUAGCUAUAGGACAAUCUAAGCCGCGAAGUUGUAAGUUUAGGGUUUUCUGAAGAAUUUCAGUAGUAGAUUCUGUUAAUUAGGGUUUUAGUUCAUUUUGUUGCUUUUGAACUUGAAUUGAAGUGAAAAUUAGUUAGUUUCUGCUGCUUUGCUGAUUACCGUGAUCAGUUUCUGGUGCUUUGCUGAUUACGGUGAUCUAUUUGACUGUGAUUUGGAUGAAAUUGAAAACAUUUUCGCGAUUGGAGUUUGGUGGAUGUUGAAUUUAUGAAGACCAUGGGGAGCUUGGAUUUUGUUAAUUCGACAUUCAAUUUCAAGGAUUAAGCUAUUAUAUUUGUGGUUGUAAUAUAGAAUUCAGCCUUAUUGGGCAGUAACACGGGUAUAUGUUGAAUAUUUUGCUCAGAGGAUUUCGUAGGAUUGGGUUAGCUUUUCUUAUAUCGUAUUUGGACUAAAUGGCCUUUUGCAGUGGUGGGGUUUUCAAUUUGUAUAGUGAAGGGUUUGCUUGUAGAAAUUGAGAAAGUUUGGAGUUCCUUUUUUUUUUUUUUGGGUGGGGAAAGGGCUGACCUUAGGCAGACUGAAGUUUGUUAAAGUGUAAUGGCGGGAAGGAAAGAAGUUGGAUUUCUGAAUGCAAGUGGUGUUAAUUUGAAAGAGCAAUUGGCUAGGACAACGUUGCGUAAUGCAAGACUUCAAGGUCAUACAUAUGUUGAUCUUAGGAAAGAUGGUAAAAAAUCAAUUUUCUUCUGUACUUUAUGUUUGGCACCCUGCUAUAGUGACUCGAUCUUGUACAAUCAUUUAAAGGGUAGUCUUCAUUGUGAAAGGCUUGCUGCUGCUAAGGCUACUCUGUUGAAGCCCAAUCCCUGGCCAUUUGAUGAUGGUGUACUGUUCUUUGGUGAUUCUUCUGAACGGGAUGAGUUACCUGUAUCGAAGCGUGAUAAUCUUCAGUUGUUAGAUAAUAAUGAUUACGAUGAAAGCAGUCUUGCUAUUGUUAGUUAUCAUGAGCACCUCCAAAAUAAUAGCAAUGGCCAUGCAUCUCAUGAUGAUAUUGGGUUUGGGAAGAAUCCAGAUUCUGUUGGUGCUGGCACCGCUCUUUAUAAUAGUCCCUCUCCGACCAAUCUGACUGACGCUUUCUGCAGUCAAUUGGUUAUUCCAGGUGUCCUUUGUAAAGAUGAAGUGUCUCAAUUAGAAGUUUCAUAUCUGGGUGUUGCCCAAAUUGCUGCUCGAUUCUGUGAGAAGAAUGGAAUUAUAAAUGAAAUCCGAAGAAUAUGGUGUGAGUGGCUUGGAAGAAAGGAUUGUGAUGGAGAGGAUACCCUGAUGGUUUUAGAACAUGAUUUUGCUAUAGUUACAUUUCCUUAUAGCUAUAAUUUAGGCCGAAAGGGGUUGCUUGAUGACCUAAAGUACUUGCUUCCACCCAGUCCUUAUUCAGAAUCUGAGGAAAAUGGUGGCGGAAGGAACAGAAAGAGGAAGUCAUUUUCUGAUCCAGAGGAUGUCAGUGAGUCUCUGGCUAAUCAGUAUGACUCUUCUGGUGAAGAAUCUCAGAAUUCAAAUAGUUGUAACAAAAAAUUGCUGCUAGAUGGGUAUGAUGAUCAGCUUCUGCAUUCAAGAGUAUUAUCAAGCAAAACUCUGAGGAAAGAAUUGAGGCGCCAGCAGCAAGUAGCUUCUGAGAGAAUGUGUGACAUUUGUCAACAGAAGAUGCUGCCAGGCAAAGAUGUGGCCACGCUAUUGAAUAGGAGCACUGGAAGGCUCGUUUGCAGUAGUAGAAAUUUGACUGGAGUAUGAUCUCCAAUCUUUUCAACUUGGUUAUGUUCAGCAGACAUUUUCCUGUAUCUUUUGGAACUUAUGCUUUUCAUUGAGCUAUAGUUCCUUGUAAAGGUGUUCAUUUACACAGUCACUGUUCUUUACUGCAGGCAUUUCAUGUAUUUCAUGUUUCUUGCCUCAUUCAUUGGAUACUGCUUUGUGAGAUGGAAAUCUAUGCAAAACAGUUUGAUGCAGCCAAAACAAAAAGGAGACCAAGACGAAAAGCUGGAACCAAGCAGAGUGAGUCUGGGAAGUUUAGCGAGAUAAAAGGCAUAAGAAAGCAAAUAUAUUCCUCUUUCUGCCCAGAAUGCCAGGGCACUGGUGUGAACAUUGAUGGGAAUGAGCUGGAGAAACCUACGGUGCCUCUUUCUGAGGUUUGUGACUCAGGACUGAUCUUUUUAUUAAUUUCUGAAACUGUAGGGAAGAAGCCGAACAAAAAUAACAACCUGCAAAUUGACUGUUAUUUCCCUGUUGUGGAAUGGGAAAAUAUACAGGCAAAGGCAACAGACAGUAUCUUUCAUACUUGUUCUGAAUAUAUUCAUACUUAAAUUGUUGGUUGCUGUUCUUCAUCUAGUUUCCUUUAACCUUGAAGUUCCUGUGUGUAUAGAUGUUUAAAUACAAGAUUAAAGCAAGUGAUGCCCAUAGAGCAUGGAUGAAAAGUCCUGAGGUGUUGCCCAAUUGCUCGACAGGAUUUUACUUUCCUGCCCAGUCUGAAGAUAUGUAUGAGGUGGGACAUUUUGGACCAGAAAUAUUUUGCUAUAAAAAUAUUAAAUGAGCUUCCUUUACCCUUACUAUAUGCUUGUUUCAGAAAAUAUCUUUAGAUCGCUAUCUGAAUAUUGUUGCUGGGAAAGUAUGUUCUUGGAUGAUGAUUCAUUUUCACAUUUGUCUGUUGCCAGGAAAAGGUAUCACCACUUAAGUUGCUUCACUUUUAUCGUGCAAAAUGACUGAGCUGAACCUGCCUUUCAAGAGCCAGAGGAUCGUUCUGAAACACUUGGCAAUUUGACGUUUUAGUUCUUGUAACCUCUGUAAUCUGUUGUAAAUGUCAUGAUUCUGAUGUUAAAAACCAUUAGUGCUUCAGAAGUUUCAGUUGCUAGAAUAGGGGUACCUUUCUAGAUCUUUUACCGGUAGCCUUGUAUAUUGGUGGCUUGUUAUCACUGCAUUUGACAGCUUUACCUACCUGUGUAUAUUACCGCCUUGGAAAUGGUGAUUCAGAAUACAUGCAAAUGCUCAGGUCCUCAUUUCCUUUGUUUUUCUUGGUGAAAAAUGAAUCUCUUUUCUUAGAUUUUGUUGUCAUUCAUCGUAAAGCAUGCUUAGAAGUUGUUGAAGAUGGGUAGUUAGAAAACUAUCAAUUGGCUACGUGGUUAUAUUCAAGUGUAUAUAGCAGAGACCUCUUCCAGAUAUCUUGAUGAGAAGCUAUCACGCAUUAUCUGAGAAAUCAAUUAAUUUAGUUGCAAAGUUCCAUUAACUGCACAGUAACGAUUCAAAACAACAUUCCUUCUCCAAAUGAGAAAUAUUAUGCAAAUCAAAUGAAAUUGUGCUACAAGUGAACAACUUCUUCGCUGUGAAAAAGAAAAUCUAUUGCACAAAUGGAGAAUCAGAAGAAGCAACUCAACAACUUGGCAACAUUAAGCUGGGGACAUGGUCAGUGUUUGGGCUGGAAGUGAAAACGGGUGCAGUGAACCAGUGGUGGAGGAAGCCCAUGCAAUUAGAACAGCUCUUAUCAAAGCUAAACAGAUGGGAUGGAGAAGCAUAUUCAGUCUGACCGCAAGAGUGUGGUGGAAAAGAUCCAAAAUGAAUGUGCAGAAGACCCAAUGAUUGAACCAAUACUGGAAAAUAUACUAAAGAUCAGACAGGUUUUGUGAAUGUUAGUUUUCCUUUAUCAAAUGUGUGUGUUUGGACAGUAGAUUAUUUGAGAUAAUCUUUGGAAAAAAUACAGUAGCAUUUUUUUUAUGUGAUAUAUGUGAGAUAAAAAUGUGGUAAAAAAUGUGUUGAUGAUGCACACAAAUAAAUUUUUACAAAUAAGUAACCAUCCAAACAAACGUCCAAAAAUGAUGUAGGGGCAGUUGCUCCAGUUGUGCAAACUUUCUUGUUUGAGCAAUACAAGUGCUGUUAAAACAAAAAAAAAAAAACCUUUGCAACGUACUCUUACCUGCGAAAGCUUCUACAGAGAUGCUGUCGGUAAAAGAACCUAACUAUGUCCCAGGGACUGAAGGGGAGAGGCAAGAGCAAGUGUUAAAGACAUUUGCUUAGAAUACCAGUGCAAUAUAUUUUGUCGUUGAAGGGACAUCUUUAGGCUAAUUGCUUAAUUUAUUUUACAUUAUAUCAGGAUGUAUGUUCGAAAUUGAGCUCUGUGUCCCCAAAAAUGUCUUGUUCCGAAGUCUCGGACUCUUCCUCAGCCUGAUAAAGUUCUUGGAAAGCUGGAUCUCCCUUUCUAAUGUACCUUGAAAUCACGUCCUUGAAUUCUGCAGAAAACUCACAUCGCUUAAGCAACCUUAACAUCUCCUCAGCUCCAGCAAUAUCUCCUUUUUUUUUCAAGUACCGCAGACAGGAAGCCAAAACAGGAAGAUCAGGUUCCCAACCUGCGACACCAGCAGCAAUCGAUUUUUUUGUCAUCUCGACUGUAUUUUCCAUCUGAUUAGUUUUGUUGUAACCCUGUGCCAUACGACUCCAAGUGCUCGCAGUUGGCUCAUUUCCACUGUCCACAAGUCUGCUGAUAAUUGACUCUGCUCUUUCUAUAUGGCCUUUCUUGCAAAAUGCAGUAACAAGCAAAUCUGGAAUCCUAAUGUCAAAAUAUUCCUUGUUAGCUAGCCAUUCAUCUAACAUCUUAUCUGCACCAUCAAGAUCAUCCAAUUUCAACAGACAACUUAUAACACAAAAACAACUCCUAUUAUAGAUCUUCCGAGGUUUCUUGUACAGAUUCCAUAAACGGAGUACCUCAUCUUUUCUUCCCAUAGUAGCAUAAAGAGUUAGUAGAAACUCAUAGGCCUGACCAGCUUUUUCAUCUGCUUUAUUAUGUGCUUUUGAACGUCUUCGACCAGUUGCUUUUGCUUGCUCGAUUAAUCUCUCAGCUUUCUUUAACACCACUUCAGCCUUCUUAAAGUCACCGGCUUUCAAAUAUCCAUUGGCUGCAAUCACAUAAGAAUUCCAUUGCAUUACAAUAACAGGAUCUGCUUCCAUCCUCAUUAGAAGUUUCUCCAUUCCCACUAUGUCAGAUCCCACAACACAUGCGUUCAACCAGAUGUUAUAUGAGAAAUUGUCAAAAGGAAUGCCCUUGCUAUCCAUUUCUUGCACUAGAGAAUCUAAUUUCUCCAGCUUCCUUGUCUGAACGUACAAUGUCAGCAUAGCACUGUAAGACAGCGUCUUAUUAUAUCCCAACUGCCUCAUCUUCUGCAUCAUUUCCUCUGCUUUACGCAAUGACUUAAAUUUAACAUAACAAUUCAAAAGAGCACCAUGCGUUUGAAUGACUCUUAAAUUGUCUGGCAGCCUCUCAAAAUAUUUUUCUGCUUGCUCAAGGCCAUGGACUUUGGCUAUCAGAUCUAGAUGAACUGCAGCAUCUGCAGGUUUUAGUUUAGAAUGUUGAAUGCUAUUGAUCCAUUCAGAAACCUGUCCCAAAAAUCAUUACAGCAUUCUUUAGCAAGAAACCCAAUUAACCACAACAUGCCAAAAAGCUCCUGCUAAUAACGAGUCCAGGAAGUGCUGGGUAAGUUCACAAUUUUCUCUCUAAAGAGUAACUAUCUCCAUCUAUAAAUAGAUCUUUCAAAGUGCUAUUGAAGAAUAUUAUCAUGAACGAACUGCAAAUAUAUCACCAAAGCCUGAAAGGAAAGGUUAUCAAGGAGAAAGAUAAAGGCCGCCAUCACCUCAGCAAAGAAAAAAUCCACCUCUUUCUAGUCUAUGAUGAAUACUGUGACUUUCUGUUGUCUUCUUUCAGGACUUAUCAAAAUAGAGGAUGACCUAAGUAACAAUAACCAAUCCUUCAUAGGAAUUCCAAAUCAUACUAAUGCUCAUGUUAGAACCACAGAAAAUACCAAAUGAAUUUCAAUUUGUAUUUACAUAUAUAUGCUUGAGCUCACGAGUUCAACCCUGUACCUAUUACCUCAUCUCAUUCAAUCUGCGAGUUAUGAAGAGUAACCACGCAAUUUCUAUUUUUUCUAGGAAAUUACAGUCAAUUUCGAGCAAAACAAUCAAUCAUGAUUUUCAUUAUAUAGCAAAGAAUGAGAAAACGAACAAAAAAGAACCCAAUACAAGAUGGUUGUGCAAUCCUGCUUUUUUCGUAAAAUUAAGAGUAAAUGUAUCAUGAGGCUGAUUAGACAAAAAAAAAAAAAAAUUUAAGAGAGUCAAAAAAAAAAGAAGAAAAAAAAAGACAAAUCAGCAUGCAGCUUUCCAUCCAUCUAGCAUCACAAUCAUGUAAAGAACGUCCAGGUAAUUCCAGAAUAAAAUCAACCCACUGAAAAGUUUAUUUUCCACUUAAGCAUCUCCCAGGUACAUGCCACAGAUCAUGAACAAAUUAAGGAAAUAUUUCACAAAGUUUAAACCAACACAGUUUAAGUACAGUAGAAACAAAGCAUUUACAUUAGACAAAUAUCAAAAGAUAGUCACUAAACUCAUCCAUCCACCACACACACACACAAAGAAGUAAGAGGCGCUACAGCAUUUUACAAAUUAAAAUAAACCCAGUUCAAAUUUGGUCAAAAUAAACAUUGCCAUACGAAAAAGAGGAAAAAAAUAGAACAAAAAAAAAAGAGUAAUUAAGUAUGGUACCCGGAGGGCAUAGCUGUAACGUUUAUAAGAUCUGAAGGAUUUGAUAAUAAUUCUGACAUUAUCAAGGUCUACUUCUCUACCUUCAUCCACCCAUUUCUGAAGUACUUGAGGGAUGGAAUCUUUAGGCUUACGCACACGCACGAGCCUGGCAAAAAGUGAAUCCUUUGGGACAGAUUCUGAGGAAUCAGGCGAUGAUGGUGAUGAUGUUGGUGAGGGAACAGCAGUUGCAGUGGAACAGAAGAAUGACAAUGGCCCAAGAUUUCUAUCUAUUGAAAAAUAGUUCUUGAUUUUGGUUACAGGGUUUAAGGAAGAAGGAGAAGUGAAAGAACGAAGGAGGUUUCUGGCCAUCAUAGUGUUUUCCUACAUUAGCAAUUGCCAACUCUUGCAGCUGUCUGUUUAUCCCUCUUGGGAAAAUCGCCACUUUAGUCCUUAAACUAUUUUACUUAUGCCAAUUGCAUCCCUCAAUGUUAUUUUAGCCUAAUUUAGUCCUUCAACUUAAAUUCCUUGUCCAAUUAAAUCCUUUUACGGCUGCACCACCCAAUAAACUUUUUCCGACACAAAAAGCACUACCUAAACAAAGGGCAAGAAUGGAAGUACAAGUCUUGUCCUACGUUAAAAUAAAGAAAUCUGAAAAUUUUUCAUCUAAUGGGGUAAAACAAAAAAUUUACACUAAAUUGGGGAGAAAAAUAAAAUAUCUGUAAAAGAAUAUCCCAAUUUUCAUCUCCAUUUAUCACUAGUCAACAAGUCAUCACCAACUAUGUCAACCGAUUUUCUUUGGCAAACUUCCGAAACAAGGACGUCGUCUUUUUGAACUCUUAAAUCAAUGGCCAUUCUCAACUGGACAAUCGAAACUCCUCUCUAAAUUUGUAAAUAUUUCUACAAAUGAGGCACUGCAAUUUUCUAUUUUAACUCUCACAUAUUCUCUGCCAGUAUUGCUGCAUUAUUAAUUCCAGAUGAUUCAUUAAUUGGGAAAAAAGCCUGUGUGAUUGUCGUAAAAGAAAUUCAUUUGUAGGAUAUUUUUGUGAACAGUUUUUUUGCUCAAUACGUAGUCUACAUUGUGAUAGUUCUUUAUUCAAUAUGUAUUCUAGAUUGCAUUUUGUUAAAGAGGCCCGAAAAGUGUUUGAUGAAAUGUUUAAGAGAAUUAUAGUUUCAUGAACCACCAUGGUUUGCUAGGUAUGUAACCUCUAGACUUGCUAUGGAGGCAUGUAAACUUUUUCAACCUCUAUUUGAUGGAAGGUAGAUAGAGAACUUGAAGGAAUUUCUUAGAGCUUUUUAUGAUGAUACUGGUGAUGGUCCUAGAGAGAAGAGGGAAAAGCCUUAGCUCCUCUCUAUUUGAGACUCGACGGGUUUGGAAAGCAUUGACAAUUUAAUUCCGUAAGUUCUAUGCCUUGAAACUUUCCCAAUUUUUUGACAUCUUUGUGAAAAAAAGAACCCAAAUAAAAAAGAAAAGAAUGAGAAGGCGAUGGAAUCCAAAAAAUGAAAUAUAGAAUGAGAGAAGAUGGCGAUGCCUAAGGAAAGAUGUGGUUGAUAAUUAUUAGUAGAUGGUAGUAAUGGUGAAAAUUUUUGUUAAGAGACUAGGUAUGAUUUGGGUUGGGCAAAAUGCUUUGACGUAGAUGGAUAAUUCAGAUUUUCUUUUGACGAUCUCUAUCUUCUUUCCCAACUUGGUGGAAAAUUUGUUUUUCUCUCCUUUUUAAUGGAAAUCAUUUUGUUGGGGUUCUAACUUUGCCCCUAACUUUGUAAUUCCUAGAUUGCCCUUAAUUUUUUUUUUUUGUCGAAACGAUAGAUGUCCUAUAACCUAAUCUAGUCUAGUUUAAGGGGAAGGAGAGGGGGUUCGAUGUGAGUACAGACUCCAUCGAUGAAGGUCACUUAAGACCGCCACAAAUUGUGGCAAAUUUGUGGGUGGUGAUUUUGUGCCUGAAAGAUUUUAAUUGGUGGUACGUCUGUGAAAGGAUUUAAUUGGACAAGAAAUUUAAGUUGAAGGACUAAAUUAGGCUAAAAAGACAUUGAAGGAUGAAAUUGACAUAAGUGAAAUAGUUUAAGGACUAAAAUGGUGAUUUUCCCAUUUAUCUUUUGUCUCUAAAGAAAGUACUAACGGAUGAAAAACCCAAAAAGUUUUAUAAAGAUAUUCAAAUUAUCAAGGAUAUUAAACCGGGCUCUAAUCAUUCUCAUCCUUGUUAAGCAACACUGGAGUCCUAAGUUUAAUCCUAGUACACACUUCCCUUGGAAUAAAAUGACCCCUAUUUGUUGUAUGGAAGGUGUAAUCGAUUCUAAUCGAGUUGAGUUGAGUUAAAAAACUUUAAUUCGAAUUUCUCAAACUCUUGAAAGUUAAAUUCAAAUUCGGGGUCAAUUUUAUUUUAUCUUGAGCUCAAGCUCGAUCAAAUUAAGUUUAGUCAAACUCAAUUCAAAUUCAAUUGAACCUAAUCAAAUCUAAUUGAGUUUAGGUAAUAUAAAUUUAUAUUUUAUAUAAUUUAAAAUUACAGUAAAUAUUAUAUACACUAACAAUGUAUACGCUAUUACGGUUGGUUGUACGACAUAUAGGGGUGAGCAUCGAAUUCGAAUUCGGUAAUUCGGUAGGUUGAAAUCGGUAAUUUUCGGUAAAUGGUGUUGGGAUAUUUCGACCUAAUUCGUAUUCGAAUUACCAAAUUCCGAAUUCGAAUUCAAUUCGGAUUGAAUUCGGUAAACACGAAUUGACCGAAUUGACCGAAUUCCUGAAGCAAUUGCAGCCUGUUUUGCUUUGUAUAAUAAAAUAAUUUCUAGCAAUAAAAUAAGUGCUGUUCACAAUUAUCAUUCAUAAAGCUGCACCAAAAUAAUCAAAAAAUAGAAGUAGUAAUCACGUCCAUAGGCACAAUAGCCAGAUGAUUGCACUACCAAAUCACAACAUAUAAAACCUCUUCCCAGUAGCUAACGCCUACCAGUUCAAAACAGCAUUACUUAAGAAAUCACAAAUCCAAACAGAAUCUAGAAAACUUCAAAAUUACUAACUAUCCCAAACUUCAUACAUAUCCAGAAAUGACAAAUCCACAAAUCCAGAAAUCAUAAAUCCACAAUCAGAAAUUACAGAAAUCAAUCCAGAAAUCAUAAAGGUCAAUUAUCUAGAAACAAUCCACAAUCCACAAGAACAAACAAUUAUAGGUGGUUCAACUCUCAAACUUCAGCAUUUGUGACCUCUCAAAGGUCAAUUACAGUUGAUUCAGUUCCGGUCUUCAGCAACUCUGCAAGAACAAACAAAAUUCAUGAAGUAUCAUAAAGGCAAUUAUUAGAAAUAAAGAAAUACUUCAAAUUUUGCAAUAAAAAUUUUGAUAGCAUACCAGAUUCGAAGGCUUCAAGUUCUUCCAGAUUUUCUUCUACAUUUAAUUCUGUCUUGGAGGACCGAAACCAAUCUUGAGCACAUAUUAAACUUUGCACAAUUCUAGGAGUCAAAGAACUCCUAAAUGUAUCAAAAACACGACCUCCGGUACUAAAAGCAGAUUCGGAGGCCACAGUAGAAAUUGGGACUGCUAACACAUCACGAGCAAGUUUUGAAAGGAUUGGGAAUCUAAGGCUAUUGGCCUUCCACCAUAACAAGAUAUCAAAUCUCUCAUCAUCUUCCUCACAAUCCUCAUUCAAAUAUUUCUCUAAUUCAGAUUUUGCAUCCCUACCCCCAAGUUCCAUUUUUCUCUUCUUAAACUCCAACUUGUACCGAUCAGUGAUUGUUUUAGAGGCAUUCCCAUGUCCAUAAAAUGUAGUUUUACUCCUUUGAGAUUCACUUGAAAGUGAAGAAACAUGAGACACAGAAUUUGAGGCAGGUGUGUUGAGCAUCUUGUAUUCAUUAAACAGCUCAAACAUUGCAUCUUUUGCAAGGCCAGCUAUUGUUGUACCAUCGGACUCACCAUACAUUUGGCAAACCACAAAUUCAAGGUAUUCAAGUUUAGUUCGAGGAUCAAGCAUGGAGGAAAUAAAAAUCAGCAUAUUCAUCUUUUCAAUCUUUCCCCAAUACUUAUCAUAUUUCUCCUUCAUUGAUCUUGCCAUUGAACUUAAUUCUUCAUUAUCACUUGCUGCCAUUUCAAUUAAAAUGCCAUGUAUGUGACUAAUAUCAGUGAAAAAAUUAUUUGAAGUCACAUAUUUGGAACCAGAAACCUUCACAGUUAGCUGAUAAAAGUUCUCCAAAAAAAUUACCAAGAAUCUAGCUUUUGUCCAAUCAGAUUUUGUUGGCAGAUUUUCUAACUCUUGAAGCAUGUAAGGAUCCUGCUCCUCGAACCUCUCAAAAGCCCGCUCAAACCUUUGAGCCGUGUCUAGCAUUAGAUAUGUAGAAUUCCACCUAGUAGAGACAUCUAAACAGAGCAAUCUUUUGCAUUCAAUUUUUUCAAUUUCCACACAUUCCUUGAAUUUUUUCAAUCUAGAAGGUGACUGUCUAACAUAUCUAACUGCUGCCCUGAUACAAUCAACUGAUUCCCCCAGUUUUUUGAUGCCAUCAUUAACAAUUAGAUUCACUAUGUGAGCUACACAUCUCACAUGAGUCCAUUUCCCCCCUAACACAGCUUUCCCCCAAUUUUGAAGUUUUCCUCGUAAAUAGCUGACAGCUACAUCAUUGGAACUUGCAUUGUCAACUGUAACAGUUAGGAUAUCAUCAACUCCCCAUUCUAGUAGACACUUUUCUAUGGCCUUACCAACUUCAGUUCCCUUGUGACUAGCAAUAGGACAGAAAUUUAGGAUCUUUUUGUUCAGUUUCCAAUCAUUAUCUAUGAAAUGGGCAGUGAGGCACAUAUAGUUUAUCCUUUGAAUGGAUGUCCAAGAAUCUGUGGUUAGACAAAUUUUGCCACUGUUAUUCUUCAAGAGAUGUUUCAACUUAAUUUUUUCAUCUAAAUACAGCUGAUAGCAAUCUCUAGAAAUAGUCCACCUCGAAGGAAUUCUAAAUGAUGGACAAGCAGUCCGCAUCAUGUAUUGAAAACCUCUACCCUCUACAUGUUUAAAUGGCAAUUCAUCAACAAUUACCAUAUAAGCUAUGCUUUUUCUAAUGGCUUCCGCAUCAAAUUUCCAACUUAUGAGUGACCCUUUAACCUCUCCCUCUAAUGUUUCAGUUUCACCCAAACACAAAGUAGCCUGGCCAGUGUGCUUAUUUUUAGGAUUUAGAGGACAUUUAGCUACAUGAGUAUUAAGGGGAGUCGUACCAUGACUUUUGGGAUCCGCGGCUAUGUCCUUCUCACAGUAUUUGCAAAUUGCAUGACGAACUCCAUUCACAUGCUUUACAUGAAAAUGAUCCCAAGCUUUGGACCUCUUCUUGUACUCUCCUCUUUUCUUGCCAAAACCAGAUUCUUCACAGCUUUGUGUUGUAGGACUAGGAAGAAGACCUCUAGAUGAUCCUUCUUGUUCUAACUCAUUGUGACUUGGAUUACUCUCACCCUCAUUAGUAGUAGACAUACCUUAAGUUUUGCGAGAAUCUGAGCAAAUAAAUUAUACAAUUUAGUGCAACAAUCAUUUAGCAAUAAAAUUGAAAUAAAAGACUAGAUGAAAUUGAAGAACCAACUCAGGACAACAUUCAAUGAACGCUGAGAAAAUCAACUAGAGACACAAUGAGUGCUGUCUGGGAAUGUUUUUACUAAGACCACAAAGUCCCACGCACAAACAAAAGCAUUAGUAAUUAAUCUAACAUCGAAAUUCCAAUUAUAUGAUAAAGCUGCAUAAUUACAAGGUCACUCCCAUACAAGCAACAGUAUGCUCUUGACUCCUAGUCAUUUAAGUGGGCAUCAAUCAUCUUCAUCCUAAGCAGCAUUGCAAUCGUAAGCAGUAACAUCAGUUGCUACUGGUAAAUUUGAAGCUUAAUGAUAGCCUAGAAUAAUGUUUACUUUUCUCCUUUCAGAUAAUCGAAGACAAUGGGUAUUGGAGUAUGUAUUCUAGUGGCCAGAUAAUUGGCACAUGUGAUAAUCUGUACAAAAGACUUCCCACUAAUGCCAUGACAAAACAGAGGCCAAAACCUCAAAAAAAAUAUAUGGAACAGAUCUAAAGCUUUAAAUGAAGAAAUGAACCAAUUUCGACAUUGACUUGAGUUCAACAGUCUAUCCAUUUUGGCAAUUCACACGAAUAAAACGUCCACGGUCACUUAAUACCAGGCAAUGUUUCCAUUAACAAUAAUACCUGACAGGACAAAAAAUCCAGGAAUCAACAUUAGAUGAUUUGUAAAUGCAAAGAUUAAGAAGAAGAGAGGGAGAACCGGCUCAAGUUUGCUGCACUAGAAGAAGAAUGAAACUGAUCCAAGUUUGCUCAAGUUUGUACCGGCUCAACUACUCUUAUCCAAUUCAAAAACUCAUAACUUUUAUCAAGAUUCAAUCAGGAAGGAAAUUGAGCAUCAAACAUCAUACAAGUUCCACUGAAAUUAAAUUAGCCCAUAUAAAAAAACUAGCAAAUUAAACAACGACAUCCAGAAUCAAAUACCAAAAGAAAAAAAAAACACCAAAUGAAAAUCCAAUUAUUGAGUCUUUUUCAUAAACCCAUUUACCUGAUAGGCUUAUCCAAGGCUUCACUGGAAUCAGCACUAGCGAACUGUGGUCCUGGACCUCCUGGUGAUAGUGGAUGCUCCGCUCGGUCAGCAAUGGUGAAACCUCGGUCAGAAUGGGAAACGGAGAAAGAGUGGACUGAGCAGAGGAGAGGAAAGGACAGAGGACUGACUGAGGAGAGGACUGAGCAGAAUGAGGAGAGGAGAAGAAACGAGAGAAAGAGGGGAACUGAGGAAGAUGGGACUGCGCCGCGGGCCGCGGCAGUGCAGAGGAGCGAGAGGAAGAGGGGACGAAGAGCGGAAUUAGGGCACCACGUCUGAAAAUCUGAAAUUGGACCAAUAUGAAUAUCGGACAUAAUGAACUAUUUCCUAUGUAACUUAAUUCGGGAAUUUCGAAAUUGAAAACGGUAUAUUAUUACCGCUUUACCGAAAUGAAUUCGAAUUCGGUAUAUCCGAAUUCAAAAACUAUAAAAUCGUUUUCGAACCUAAUUCGAUUUCAACUUGUACUAUAUCCCCGAUUUACCGACCGAAUUACCGAAUUACCAAAUUCGAUUUACCAAAUUGAAAUCGAUUUCGGUCGGUAAAUCGGUAUUUACCGUAAUUGCUCACCCCUAACGACAUAUAUGUAAAAUUUGGAUUUCAAAUUCAAAUUCAGAUUGCAUGUCAUGCAUCUAAAAGUGUUUACGCUGUCAGCGUAUAGAAAAUUAAUCCUUAAAAUUAGGGAUGAGAUAAACAUUUCACACUAAUAAAUUAAAUUUAUAUAAAACUCGAUUAAGCUCAACAAGUUUUCAAACUUCAAAUAAUAAGUUUGAACUUGAGCUUGUCAAAUAGUUUGAGUUGCUCGAACUCGAGCUCAAGUUGAGUUUUGAUCGAAUAAGCUUACGAACUACUCGAUUAAUCUCGACUCAUUUACACACUGUUCAUAUUCAUUGUGUUUUUUUCUCCCUCACCUAUUCUUUUCUUCGUUUUGUUUGUAGGUAAGAAAAAAAAAAAAUCUUAGUUGAAGGGAAGGUUAUCGCAUUCCAAGCCUAGGGAGUCCCUUAAGUGGUGGGAUUUGCUUCCUUUAAACAUGGUGAAUGAGUUUUAUCGCUUAUCAAGACAAAUGAGAUUUUAUCAGUUGAGUCAAUCCCAAAUAUUAACAAGGUGAAUGAGCUUUAUUGCUUAUCAAGGUGAAUGAGAUUUAACUUCUCAGAAAAUACCAAUGCUAUUCCUCUCAAACUAAGGUACUAAUAGCCAGUAUAAAACUUAAGAGGUGACAUUAACACUUCCAUAUAAGUUGCUUUGACAUAAAAAUUUGUAUCAUGGCAUCAUUAGCUGCGUUUAUGAGAAGGAUCACAAAUCCAAUAAGGUAAAUUAUGAUUGCACGAAUUAGUUUUAUGCGAUGAUCUUGGAGCACUCGUCUUUCUGCCACCUAGUUUAUCGAGGACAAAAAGAUGAUAAGAAGCUUUAUCCUAGAUUUGUUCUUGAGGCUUUCUUUUUUUUUCUUUUUUUUCUUUCCCUUGAUUUUCCAUAUUUUUUACGCAAUCAUAUAUUCUGAGUUAGACACAAUUGAAUGAAUUGCCAGUUGCAAUUACUCACUGAAAAAGGGACCAAAAAUGCCCAAGAGAAAAUUCUCAAUUAAUCAUUAUUGGAAGUCACUUGUCAACUCAAUGAUGUUUACCUUGUUACUAAAUGGUCAAUAGCAUGGCAAUGCGAAUUCGAACAAUAGCUGUACUUGAACAAUAUAUAUCUCCCAGAAGGUUCAGCCCUUAAUUGUCGUUUAGGUUAGUAAACGAAAUGCUUCAUAUAUAUAUAUAUAUAUAUAUAUAUAUAUAUAUAUAUAUAUAUAUAUAUAUAUAUAUAUAUAUAUCUCGCCUAUGUUAAAGUAAUAUACCCAAUGCAGCAACAAGAAGAAAAAGUCAGGUCAAUCAACUCAGAGAAGCAGCUAGAAACUGGUAUAAAAUGGAAAAGUUUUGUAAUCCUCAGGGAAGUAGUAGUCAGGGCGUCAUUUUCCAUUCUCUGCAGUGCAUGCAUCAAACUACUAAACUGUACCCCAAUGCUAGCAAAAUCUGGGAUCAUAUCUUCUUCUGUAGCGAGGCUUCAAGAAUUCUUUUAUAUUACUUUUCUUUUUAAUUCUCGCUUUGCUUCGAAGCUGAUUUCCUUUCAAGAGCUGCCAUGGGAUGUUCCUUCUGGAGCACCCGCAUUCCAUUAAAAUAGUAGUCAAGUAUGUACUUGAAACAGCUAGAGCAGCUCAGUCCUAGGAGCAUCACUCAUCAGUCGUCAUUUGCACUAAUCUGAUCCCGAAAACGAUGAAUCCAUUUCUUCAUCAUUCUCAUCCAGUUCAAAAAAGAUACCAGUUCUAGGACUUCGACUCUCGUGUAGACGGGAAACUUGUUCUAAAACAAUACCCUGAUCUGCAAGUAACCUUUCAAACUUUUCCUUUUCUGCAUCUCCCUUUUCUCUCAAGUAUUCCAGACAUGCUGUCAACGUAGUGCGGUUUAAAGUCCAAGAAGUACCUUUCCAAGAAAAGAUGGCAUUUUUCAUUGCAUCAACUGCCUUCUCCAUCUGAUUAUCUUUGUAGUAUCCAGUUGCUAGAUAAUCCCAUGUGCUUGCAGGAAUCUUUCUGCCACAGUUUAUAGCUCUGUUUAUAAAUUCUUCAGCCCUUUGCAGCAAGCCCUUUUUAGUAUAAGCAUUUAUCAAUGUGUUUGGAAUUCGGAAGUCAUAAGAAGUGUUCACAGAUUCCCAUUCCUGAAAAAUCUUUUCAGCUUCAUCAAUGUCAUCCAACCAGAUUAAAGAGCUUAUCAUGUGAAAGUACCCAUUGUUGGUCAUAUUUCCUCUCUUCUUGUAAAGAUGCCAGAUUCGUGUGACUUCAUCUUUGUCACCCAAACUGGCAUACAUACUAAGGAGAAUUUGGUAGGCAAGUCCUCUAUUGCUACCUCUGAUAAGUUUCUCUGCCUUCUUCAGCAUGUCAGAAGCUUUAUCUUGGAGGUUAGCUCCUAAGUAUCCCUUUGCUGCUGUUACACAAGCAUUCCAAUUCACAUUAACUAGAAGGUCAUCUUCCAUUUUCUUCAAGAGCUUCUCCAUGGCCUCUAUAUCAGAAUUUAGAGCAUAAGCAUUCAACAAGAUGCAGUAUGCGGGUUUAUCAAAAGUUAUGCCUUCCUGUUCCAUCUGACGAACAAGCUUCUCCAAUUUCUCACGCUUUCCCAGCUUAGAGUAGAGGUUCAGCAUAAUACAGUAGGAUAACUUCAUAUUACAACCAAAUCUUCCCAUUACACGCAUGAUUGCCUCAGCCUGUUCCACUAAUUUCUUCUUGGCAUAGCAAUUUAAUAGAGAACCAUAGACCUUAAAAGUUUUCAGACUAUCCGGGACAUUAAAAAAGUAGUUCUCUGCCUCUCGUAAUCCAUGUACUUUAGAUAUUAAAUCCAGUCUCACUGCAACAUCUUCAGGUGAUAGGUUAGAACUGUCAACGAUCCACUUAGACAACUGAAAGAAAAAUGAGAAAUGAGCAAUGGAGCCAAAAGUUUCAGCACUCAUGGGGCUCCAAUUAGAGGAGAUAAUUCAGGCAUUCAUACAAUAUAGCCUUGAAACUUUGCAGGUUCAAAUGAAUUGCAUAUUAUACUGAAGAAACAGCAAGUGGCUCAAGGAGCUUUUGUGGUCUACACGGUAAAAAUAACUUAAAGGCUACAUUAACUUGAUCUACCUUUUAGUUUCUCAACAUCAUAAAGAUCUCCCCUCGGAUUUCUUACAUCAUACCCCCUCUCUUAUUAGUUUUUUCAAUUAAACAAAUUUAAGUUACAUAUUAGACUACUUUUUCUCCAUUCAAUAAAACAUGUUACAAGUUUUACCAAUCAAAGUAAUGCUAGAAGCUUAUUUUUCAUGAAAUCACAAAUUAAUGUGAAAAUAAUGACGACAACUUGAUUGUUAAUUUUAUGAUAAUGAAGUUACUCUUAAAACGAAAAAAAUAGCUAAUUCUUAAAACAAAGAAUUUACCUCACUUGACUAUGAAAGAUGGUAUAUGAUGAUUAUCAAUGUGGAAAGAUAUAUUACAACAUAGCAGACAACUCUAAAUUCGUCUAAGAAUGUCAAGAUACAGGUAUUGCAGAGAAAACCAUCUUUGGCCAUAUUUUCUUGAAAGGAAUCGCAGCUUAUGAAUAGCUCGGAUAAUUCAUUUCCUUGUCCAUUUCUCCAAAAAUAGAGAUUUGAAGGAUUCAAGAUCGCAAUGUACCCUCACCAGCACAUGCUGCAAUUAUGCAAACCACUCUAGCACCAGCCUUUCUAAGUGUAAUCUAUUGCCACAUACAAAAUCUUUUGCCACUUAGUAAAUGCAACAAUUUCUCAAGAUAGGUGCAACUUCUGUAAACACCAAAGUAACAACACUACCUGUAACAUCCUAUGUAAGUAGACUGAUUGGAAUCCAGACAUGAGGGAGUAAUACAUCUCAACAAUUUUAUCCAGAUAUAAGACAGCACCAACUUCUUAAUGUUCAGUUACUGUUUCUCAAAAUUUUAUCUUCAUCAUGAUUUUUAAUUUGAUAAUAUCAUAAAAAGCAUAUGAUAAUAAGCACUACACAAUUGCAUCUGUUUGUUUAUAGAAGAAAUCAAAAUGCAGGUUGAUAUGGUUAUUCUCAUACCACAAGCACGCCAAGUGUUCUUUCAGUCUCUUAACUGGUAGCACUUUCUUUAAGUGGAGGAGUUUGCAUACAUGUUAGCGGUGAAAUUUCAAGAUUCCUAGCUCAGGUGAGAAACUUUCAAUACAUUCUUGUUAAGCACCCUUAAUUACUUCUUUGUGUGAAACCUCCAAAUCAUUCAGAUGAGGCAAGAGCACAAGAAAAAAUAUGAUAAAAAGCAUGAAAGUUCUGAAAGUGCAGAACUUUAAGAUCGAAGUUUUGAAGCAUAAUAAACUCACUUCAGAUUGAACAGAUUUCAACGAGUUUCAUGGCUCUCAUUUUAAGACCCCAAGUUCUAACAGCUAGAUUUUCCCAAAUCUGUAUCUGAUGAUCCAUAUAACUUACAAAGAACAAUUGGAAAAAGCAGUUAUGGGAAAACAGUAGGAAUGAUCUAUCAAAUGGCAACAAUGCAAUGAAGAUUCAGAUGCAUGUUGAGUAGGAAGAACAAAGCAUUGUGGAGAUUUGAAUGGAAAACCUGCUAGAUGUGACAUCAAGAACAGUAGAAGUAAAGUCCUGUAGCCAAGUAUUUUACUUGACCACUGAUUAAGUUUUCACAAGUGGGACAGUUGCAGUUAUUGCAGCACCACGUUGGCUUCCCAUUAUACUUGUUUUCAAUCAUUUCAUUGUCUAUCUCACUUUCAGAAACAGCCCCCAAAUAUAGUAUUGCAUUUCUAACCGUCUUCGAUAUUUUAGAUUUGGCACUUCACAGCUUAGCAAAUUCAAUUAUAUUUUAUAUUUUAGAUUUGACUUUUCACAUCUUACCAAAUUCCACUAGAAAAUUGACUUCAUAGAAUUAAUACAUCAGACCAGGUUUUUCGAAACCUUAUAUCCUUUUGGAACAAACCAUCCAUCAAGGCACCAGGUACAAAUCUCAAGGGAUGGUCUCUUAAGGUAUAAAACAGAAAUUUCCCAUCGGAAUGCUUCAAUUUACUUCCCAACCAACUCAGCAGCACAAAUCCACAACAUUUCUGAAAUCAAAGACCCUAUUUCUUCUGAUCGCUCAAGGUGCUAUGCAAGCAUGAAUUUUCAAAGUUAACCCCAUCAUUUCCCUAAAUUUCAUCAGCAUCAGUAUCAAACAUAUUCAGCAACCAUUUUAGCCUAAAAAAGUUCCUUUCAUUAAAAGUUAUCAAAAAUCCUUCAUCAGUGGGCGUGCAUGACUAAUUUUUUCAACCUUUCCGACCUUGGUUCAAUAGGAGCGUACCAAGUCAGAAAGACUGAGCUAGUGCAGUCUUUCCUUUCCCUAACAUCGACCAAAACUAAACACCACAUACUAAAAAAAUAUUGAUUCAUUUCCCAUUUAAUUCAAAGUCAUAAAAUACCUUCAAUUUAGGGUCUAAUUUUCCAUAAUCUAACCUCAUUAGUCUUAAUGCAUACUCACAUAAACAUAAGUCACACAUACCCAAUAAAGUAAUAAAGAUCACUUCUUUUCUUUUUCCUCAAUAGCAUUAUCCAUAGAGCAUUUACAACCUAGAACCUAAUAGCAAAUCACUUAACACAGGAUUUACAACAAGUUCAAUAAAUGCAGAUAAACAAAUAAUCACAUUUUUCUUGCAUAAUCUAAUAGACAGGCCUGAAGAGCAUGAGUGUAGCGUCUGUUUUUCCUCAGGAUUUUGAAGAUGGUUUUGAGCUCGGAUCGAUGAACGGGUCGGCCUUCCCGAACCCAUUGAUCAAGAAUUGGGACAAUGGAAACCUGAGGGUCUCCAGCUGGUAAAAUUCUCUUGAACAAAGUGUUUGGGGAGGGGGAAACUGAGGUCUUUGUUGAAAAUGAGAAAAGCCCAGAUGCCUCGUUCCAAUUAUAGUGUGAUUUCUUGCAGAAAUUCAACAAGUUUUUGAAGGAAUUGAUCAUUUGUGCAGGCAGAGGAAUGAUUUUGCAGUAUGUUCUUUCUUGUUGUGGAGGGAGAUUUUACAAUGGUUUAUGAUGAUCUGGUCCGGGCUAUGACUUAUGAGGCUAAAAAGGCUUCUAUUUGAUUGGGGGGUUAUUUUCAAAAUCACAUAUUGGCACCGAGGUUUCAUUUGUAUGGUAGUAUGCUGAUUUAGGCCCUUUUUGUACCUAUGGGUUUUCGUAUGGGCGAGUUGUAAGUUUUUUUUAUUUUUUUUUUUGAGGUUUUAAAUUCGACACCUACUAUUUACAAUAUUUCAUCGGAGUUGUAAGUUUAAAUCAUUUUAAAGUGAAAAAGAUAUAUUGGACAAGUUUUACUUUAGUCCCUUAUAAUUCAGCUUCGACACUUUUUGUCCUUUAUCCUAUUCACGUUUUAAUUUUUUUGAGUUAUUCUUGUUUGAUUUUAGUCCCUCAGUUUUAUUAUUUACCUAUGCGAUGCUUUUCAUUUAUGCUUUUCUUCCUUUUAGAAAAAUUUCAGAAAGGCUUGAAUAGGAAUGAAGAAGCAAGAAGGGAAAUGAAAAGUAGAAAAGGAGAAUCAAAAGAAAUGCAAUUCCUGAUCCUUUUUAGAAAUAGAAGGGACCAAAUGUGUGAAUAUUGAAACAUGAGAGUAGUAAGUAGAACAUGAAAACACAAAAUUAAGACUAGGACAAAAAAUUUAAAAGAAAGGGACCUGAAUUAAAUUUGCACAUUUGAGAAAAGUUUGACAACCUGACUUUGUGAUCGAAAUUUUGAUGCCUUUUAAGGAAAUAUUAAUUUACUAACAACAAGAUUUGCUCAAUUAGCUUGCUGUUGAAAAACAAUUUUGACUUCAAAUGAAGGAGGAGUUGAUGUGAAAUCAAACUGGUUAUUUCUAUGGAGGACUUUUAUGAUUCUUGGAACUUUUCUCUUAUUCAAUUCUAAUAUCAAAUCAACAAAUUUCAUCUUAAUUUAAGAAAAUGCAUAUAUAUAUAUAUAUUAAGAAGUGAAGUUUAAGGACCAGCAAUUUGAGAUGUACUAAGGCCGAGUUUUCUAAAUGAAUUGUUUUUGGCUCAACUAGACAAGUAAUUCUGUUGACAGAUAAAGUCCCCAUAUACUGCAUGCAAUUCUUGAUGAAAAAGAAAAAAAAGGUAGUGCUAGUGGAACAUAUUUGUCCUCCAAUCUUGUCAUAGCUAUUCUUGAAUCCACUAUUCACCUUAGCGCUGUUCUUGGUAAAAGCAAAAAAUAUAACGCAUGUAAACAGAUUCACAUAUUCAACUUACACUUUUAUAUCCAAUAUUAUAAACUUUCAAAAUAGAUGCUACCUCAUUGUGAUCAUAUUACCGGCCGGCCAAGAAAAUAUGUGCUUAUUGCAAGAUGUGCAAAAACAUGUUUUAAGUUUUUGAACCAAACUAAGAAAAUAAAGAACCAAACCAGAUGGAUAAAUGCUCUUUACAAUACUAAAAGGAGAGGAGAUUUUAAUUGAUGCAUCUGUAAAGAAAAAAAAUGUAUUCCUUCACAAACCAUCAUAUAAAUAUGAUAAUACAGUACAUCCUUUCACGUAUAGACAUUUUGAAACCCUUACCCACAUGUAAAAAAAAAAAAAAAAAAAAAAAGAAUUCGGGUUUUCGGUAACAUGUUUGGUGUUAUAGUACUCCUAUCUUACGUUUUAUUACACUCCGUCUUUAAACUAUCUAAGCUGCUAAAAUAAAACAAUUUCAUCAACAUGCAUUCUUGAAUGCCAAGCUGCUUAUUUACUAUAGUAUAAGUACUCUUUGCUUCACUUUCUUGGGGGGAAGGACACAUCCAGGGCUUUACAACUCCUUAUUUGUAAUAGGACUAGACCCUGAUGGAGGUGUUGGACCACGCUUUGGUAACGUUGAAGCAUAUACAGCAGACUUCUGUAUUCUUGACCUGCUUUGCCUCCCAGUUUCAACUUCUCCCUCAAAUCCCUUGCCACCAUGGCCUUCUUCUCCUCCUCCUCACUGACCAGGCAAACGUCCCUCAGCCUGCAGCAUUACUCUAUUAAGGAAAAGAAACAGGAUUGGUGAUGCUGUGACGAUUUCUUGAGCUUGAUAAAGCACCCCAUUUUGUGGUAAUUUAGUUCUAAUCGAUCGUAUAUACAGCACCAGCAGGCCUCAAAGAGUAGUGUUAGACACUAAUCAAUGAGAUUUUGCACAUAAUAUGCUGGUGAUUAGAGAUGAAAAGCACGUACAUAUAUGCCCAGAACCGGAACCUAAGAGCUGGUUGAGCUGUAGUGUAUAUCAAUUGGUCAACCUCAGCUGGCUACAAAUCAUACUUUAUUGUCAAUUUGAAGAAGAGAAUAAUUCUCUAUAAGGCAAAAACUAGCUUCUUGAAAGGUGAAUAAUCUAUAUAUUUUUUACUCAAACUGAUAAUUUAAAGAGUAAAUCUUAUAUAUACUGACAGUGUAUAUACUAUCACUAUUUGAUUUAUGACAUUUGUGCAAAAGUUGAAUUUUAAAUUCAAAAUUUUCAUAAUUGUCGUUCAUCCAACACUGAUAGUGUAUACACUGUCAGUGUAGGAAAGAUUGAUCCUAAUUUAAAAGCCUUGUUUAUAUAGGCAUUGAGGUUUGAAGGCACGGCCAAUUGGCUUAUUUAGUUGAAAGUCUUAUGCAUGAUAAUGAUUAUUUAGUGGUUGUGGGAUGUUUUAGUGCCUUAAUUCGAUGUGCAACUAUUUCCAUGAAAUAUUUGAGAGAGACCUGUGUUUUUUUUAUUUUUUUUUGCUAUGGUAAGUGCAAAUGGAGUACAAUGUCAAAUUGUGAAAAUUAUUUGUACUUUUCUUGUCGUAUUGGAUUGUAGGAAAUAAAUUUCAUGGACAUUAGUCCCAUUAAAGGUGUAAAACCUGAUUGAUUCUUAGUUCUUACUCCCAAGUAAGGCAUUGGUACAUUAAGGAAGCAACCCCAGGAUUGGUGGACAAAGUCAAGAAGAAUGGUCUGCAAGAUGGCUUUUCCAGAUGCUUUUAGUUUAGUUUUCUUAAGCCCCAAUGAAUAACGUUUAUGGACAAUAAUUAAUCUGAAUUAAUCAUUUCUUUUUCUUUUUCUUUUUCUUUUUCUUUUUGGCGAACUAGAGAUUGGGAAAGUUAGAAUGUGAUGUAGACCAGCGCCUAAGAUUAAUCUGAAUUAAUCUUUUUUUUUUUGCAUGAGUGUCCCAUUUGCUGUUGACUUAUCUCUAAUUAUGGCCGAAUUGUCCCCAAAAAUAUUUUGCAUCAAAAUCAUACCAUGAAGUUCACGCUAAGGGCCCUGUUAAAGAGGCAUUUGAGAAACAAUCUGGUCCCUUAAGGUUUCUAAUAUUUUUACUUGGCUCCCUUAAGGUUUCAAAAAUUGCACUUACCUCCCUUGUCCAUUUAAAAUGACAAUACUAAUAUUGAUAAUUUAAUAAAACUCCCUUGUUGCCAUGUCUAUACAAAGGAUGGAUUUUAUAAUUUUUUUUCCUUCUUAUUCAUUUCUCUAAUAUUUCAUUAGAAUUAUAGAUAAACUAUCAAUGUUAUCCCUAAUAUCUGUCUAGAUCAAAUGUUAAACAAGUAAUUUUUUGAUAACUUUUAAUAUCAUCCAAUUUUUAGUAGCUCUUUUUUUGGUAUCAAAAUCAAGAAUAAUUAAAAACAAAUGGCUCAAAAUCACUACCAAACUAUGGUAGUUCAAUCACUAAACUAGUCCAUAAACUUUUAUUAAAAAAAAAUAGUCCAUAAACUUAAAAAAAAAAAAGAUAGCACUUUUUUCUCUAUCUUAAAAAGAAUAUAUAUGCUUAAUAGAGCACUAUAAACAAUAGCCUAUUAUAUCAAAAGAUAUAUUGCCAUAGUUGAUUAUCAAUUAACAAAUAUGGGCAUGAAAAACUUGAGACUCUUUGUCUUUUAUAAUUGUGCUAAAUUACUUUACAAUUGUUUAGAAGAAUAAAUUAAACUUUAUAAGAUAAGGACAUUUUAGGGUAUUCAUUAAAAUUUUGACCCUGUUUUAAGGUUUGGUUACCAAAGUGUCAAAUCAAGGGUGGUAAGUGUAAUUUUUAAAACUUCAAAGGAACUAAGUGAAAUACUCAAAAAUCUCAAGGGAAGUUCUUGAAAUUAUCCCAAAAAAAUGGAUCAUGGUUCAAUAAAAAAAAGGUGGUCAUAUUUUCUAUUAAGAGGACCUGUAUUAUCUCAGGAUGGUGGAAUAAUUUAGACCCGCUUGUGAUCAACGACUAAUUUAACUAUCGACUUAUUUGUCUAUGCUCGAAAUUAAUUUCAAUUAUGCCAAUUAUUUGCUAAGUUGGGUUGGAUUCAUCAAUAUUAUUAGUUUUUCAAGAGGGCGAAACCAUGUAAAUCGAAUCUAUGACUGAAUAAUUCACGGGAGAGACAACGAUUUGGAAACAAAAUAGCUCUUAAAAUCUCUUUUUAUUCUUUGUUGUCGAAUGUUCCACCGUUACUUGUUGCAUUAUGCUGGCCCUAUCCAAUAAAUUUGGUAUAUCAUCAUUUACGUGCUGUUUCACGCCCUUUGCCUGUAAUAAUGUCUUUUAUAAAUUAUCAAGACUAGUUAGGUACUAACACCAAAUUAUUAAGGUAACGUGAUCAUUUGGAUUGCUUUCAUGUUAUAAUGGGACAUUGUGACCAAUCCUAUCAAGUGAUUUUAAUGUCUUAUCCUUCUGAUUUGCUUUUUUUCCCAUGGCACAAAUUGCCAUGAUAUGAAGUAGAAGGAUCUUGGAGUAAAGCCCUACGGUAAACAACUAGAAGAGCUAGAAAAAUGCAGAUCAGAAAUGAACCAAAUAUAUAUUAGGAUGGCUUUUUUUUUUUGCAACGAUAGAAUUUCUAUAGCCUAAUCUAACCGAAUCUAGCGAGAAGGGCAAGGGAGGACUGAUGUGAUAAUCUAGGGAGAGCGGGAGAGGGAGGGAGAGGGGGACUGAUAUGAGUAGAGAUCGCCACAUAUAGUGACAACACUACCAAGACUGACGGUGACCACCAGGCCUUUAAAACCGACGGAAGAUCACUUGUACUGGAAGAUCGUAGCUGACAACUUGUACUGGAAGAUCACUAAAUAAGCCAGGCAAAUGUGUGAAAACAUGGUACAGAAAGAUUAAAAAAAAAAAAAAAAGGAAGAAGCCUAUUAGCUGAAAAAUAUAGUCACAGAGAAACCGACGGGAAUUGAAUAUACGGAUGCAAGAGACACCUCUGUAAAUCUAAGAGAAGCCACAUUAAGUGGCAAUUUUUUUAUAAGAGUCAAGAUUUGAAUGAGAGUCAAGAUUUGAACCUUUGACCUCCAACCCUACAAAAAACAUGUGGUGGUCAAUGAUUCUAGAAAUAGUUGGUUACAACCAAAAAAAAAGUUGGUAAAGUGUUUCCGUUGCUAAUGCACCCUCGUAUUUGUUCUUGUGUCCCAGUUAACCUUGUUAACUUAUAAUUCACUUAAAGAUUAAAGAAAAAAGAAUGCAUUAGAUCUUUUGAGUGUUUAAUGGGCUAUGGCCACCUCCAAAGCAGUUGCCAUUGUUUUCUUAUUAAGAGGAAAUUUGAGUUAAUUAUCUACUGACACAAUUUUGCAUGUCUUGUGCUUGUAAGUAGACUUCUUUGUUCUAUAUAAAAUACCAGAAUGGGAGAAGGAAAACUACCUGCCAUUGCAUGAUGAAAGCUGAAAAGCAGAAAGUAGAUAAGAAUGGGAGAUAUUUCUUAAGAAUCAAGUGUACAAAGUUGUGAGCUAGACGCUAUCCAACAUGCACAUUGACAGUAUAUUAUGAAGAACAAAUCUGGAGAGAAGGGUAGUGAAGACAAAGCACCAAUAAUAAAGAGGAGGAGAAGAAGAAGGUUCAUUAUGAGAAAACUACUAGGAGCCAAAAAGAAAAAAGAGAGAAGAUGCAGAUGAUGGCAAAUCGGAAGCUUCAUUAUGAGCUUGUCUUGAUCUAAUGGGGACCGAUAAGAAGAAAUUAAGGAUUUAAGAAUACCCAACCCACACGCCUAAUAGUUCAAAUCACCAUGGACCAUCAGAGGGGCCAGAAUUUUCUAGUGAUAAGGAAAGAAAUGACCUUUGUUGGCCUUUUCUCAAAGAAUUUGAUGAGAAUCUUAAAAAGUUAAUGUCCAAAAUAGAUUACUAAACCAAUCAAAAUUUAGUUAGUCACCGAAGUUUGGAAGCUUCUCCUCCAUCAACUUCCAAAGUUGCCGCCACGGCACUUGCUCCUGCCACCAUAUUGUACGAUAUUGCACACCACCGCCAUAGCCCCCACCAUCCACCAUAUAUUUCUGUUUCCCUCAUCAACAAUUUUGACACUAGUGAAAAUGACAAGAAGUAAAAAGGAGAACACAAUUUGACUUGCAACCAAAGUUAAAUGCAUGUGGGUUCUUGAUCAUGGGACUGAAGGUCUACGAGUUGCCUAUUCAUUCAACCAUCUUGCUUCCCAAAUUUGACUAAACCUUACCUCUAUCAACAUAUAUAGUGGACCAUUAUGCUACUUGUAAUCAUGAACAUAUCCAUCUUAUCUAUAGUGCUUUGAUGCAAUUUACUCCUCAAUUACUCCUCCAACCUCAAUUGUUUCAAGGGAAUCAACUUUGUGGCCCACCAGCCACUCAAUAAGUCAGUUUAUUAUCUGUGUGGUGUGGCAUCAACCACCACCAAAAAUGUGCUCCAAACCUUAGAGCAGAGUAUGAUUGUAGCUUGAUAAUGGAAUGGAGGUGAAGUCUGGUCACAUGGAAUAGAGGGCUUAAUGGAGAAAUUAUUGUACUUCUUUAACCUACAUAUGUUAGUAGUAAUUAUUUAAGACUGAGAUAGUAGGAAGUGAAGUUUGUUUAUUAGUCCCUCCAGCAUACAACCAAAUAUUUAGAAUUGUUCAUACUUAGAAACUGAGAUCAAAUAGUAUAUAUCAGCAGCUUCAGAUUUGGAGAUGGCACACACUCUGUGAUUUGCUAUUGCUAAAUUAAUAGGCUGAGUUUGUAUAACAGGGGUGGAUUUUCUUUUUUUACAUGUAUACGUUUGGGAGGAUUGGGAGAAAACUGUAUCAAAACAGCAGCAGACAUAAAACCAUAGAACAGCAGAGGAAAAAACAUAUUCUGCUGAGAGAUUUGUCAGCCUGCAUCACUUGCCUUCUCAUCCUCGGAGUGCUACCACCUGACAGAUGAAAUGAAUUUGGGUAUGAAUAGGCCUGUGGGUUCCGAAACAUCCUAGUAAGAACCAUUUCACCAAGCAUCGUCACCAAUGGAUGAUACGUGUUCGGACUCAUUGUGCCACUGGAAAACUGAGGGUAAGAUUGUGGUGGUUGUGUGUAACUUAGUCGGUGAAGCUGUGGAACUGCACGUGAGAUAUUCGGCGUUGUGGGUAAUGACAGCAUACUUCCACAUUUUGGGCUUGGUGGCCUUUGCGGGAUGACUAUGCCUAGUUGUCCUGCUUUUGCUUCGGAAGGCUUUGUAGCGAGUCCCCUACCAUAGAGAGGAAUUACACUUUCUUCAGAUAGUUCAGCCUUGCAGACAGGACAUUGUGGCUGUUGGAGGUUGCAAUUUUCAGAAGGCAUGCUCCGAAAAUGGAUCCAUUUGUAGAUGCAGGGCCAACAAUAGAGGUGGCCACAGAACGUGACGACAGGAUCUCGUGCGCAACCCAGGCAAAUGUUACAGUCCAAACCCCCCGAAGGAUUAUCUUCCAGCUCAUCCGGUGAAUGGGAUUUGCACUUUGUCAAUGAAAUGUCAUCUCGAUCGAAGUUGUUUUCAACUGCUGGCUCUUGGAAAUACUCCUCCAUUACUAUUUGCUUUUCUUGUCAAGUAAAAUUUUGAUACUACUACCUGAAAACAAAAGGGCAGAAAUAAAGAUGGUUAGAUUCAACCGCUCACAACAACAAGUAGUUGCAAAUUUCUAUUAUUUCUGACAAACUAUAUGCAUAAAUAUCUGCCAAGGUAAAAGUGUUAUUCAACAUCAAAAGCAUGAACGGGUUUGAACACUAAUUCCGUGGUUAAAGCUUCACAAUCCCACUCAUCAUGAUCUUAGUUUAUGUCCUCAUCCAAAAGGUAUCAGAAGCAGAGACUGAAAGAGGUUACUAUCCAUCAUAUGGCGUUUCAAUUUGACUGAAUUAUUUAAGUAAUCCAAUCGAACAGAACGUUGAACAAUGCUGCCAUUUAGCUAUUACAAUACAUAGCUUAUAGUAAUAAUACACUAUUGCACAGGUUGCGUACAAGUAGCCAGUCCUGGCUGGGCAAGGGACCACUUGAAAACCAUGACCUACCAGUUCAGAAAGUAAAUAAGAAACAAUUUCCCAUUGAUAUAAUGGUAUACAUCAGCUACUCUAAUUGUUAAAUAUGCAAACCACCCAAAAUUCAAAGAAACUUCCGAUUGAACUAUAUUAUUGCUCUAAUAGCUAACCACAAUCUUCUACAAGGUUUUUUCACAGCAGAGCCUAUCCGGUUAUCAAGAUCACCUAUUUUUCAUCCUUUCUUAGCUCUAUCAUACAAAAUAACAUAUCAGGAAGUUUCAAAAAUCAGAUUAACUACUAUUCUAUCUCUAUCUUUGAAAACAUAUUUAGAUGGGCAAAAAGGAGAUCAUGGGUUUUUGCACUACAGGUAGGUGAGACUUUGGUUGGAAAUUAAUUUUGCGACAUAAACAUCCUAUCACGUUCUAAGAAACUUUACCACUAACCUUCUACUCAACUACCCAACUUAUUUCAUAAUAAAUAGGUGAACAAACAGUGGACAAGGAACAAUUAUCACCUCAAGAAUAAAACAGUUAAUAUCACCCACAGAAUGAAGUCCUGAACAUUGAUUGUGGAGAUUGAUAAACAUAUUUCUAGAAGAUGUUGCAAGAGCCACAACUCAAUCAACUGCUUCAUAUCAUCUUCUUUGCACCAUUUAGUCCAGAAGACUAUCCAAACUAAAGGAGUGUAAGCAAAAAAAACACAUCCACUUGUGGUACAAGAGAAACUCAAUACUCAGAUAUAGGAUGUGAUUGAUUAACACAAGAUUCAAUGGUGAGAUUCAGGUAUUCAUUGUACCCAAGAGAAAAUCAAGACUCUCUGAAAGAUAUAUUCUUCAAAGAUCUAAAAGAUCUGGUCAAAUAAUAAAACAAACCCUUGAAAAAAAUCAAAAAGAGAACGAUUUCUAUGGUCCUUGUUGGAAAAAAAAAGGAAGAAGAACAAAAGAUAAUACUUCAUAUUGGGGGAAAAAGGGAUGGUGAACUGAAAGGCACCAUAUGUCGAAAAUGAAAACUGAAAACCCCAGAAAGAAAAUUGUUAAGGUCCAUUUUGAGGCAUAUAAGGACCACCAAGAAAGGUACAAAUUAAGGUGCUCAGAAUUCAUCGUCAAAGCUUGGACGCUAGCAUGAUAAGGGGUCCUCCAACUUGCAGCUGGAACAUCCAUUUGGCAAAACACUGCAUCUAGAAAGUGGCACUAAAUACUAGAAGGAUUCACCCAUCUCAGUAGAGAUGGGCAAGAAUUGAGAGAUUUCGCCAUCUCUACCCCACAGAUGCAAAUUAUGGUACAAUUCAGAACUCACAAGAAGGAAUACUUCAUUAAGCACAUCAAACUCUAACAAGAUUCACCUGGAAAUCAUAAGGUGAACUGAUAAGAAUCAAAACCCCAUAGCUUUGAUCUCAAAUACACAAGACAAGAGUGUUCUCGCACAAUUUAAAUUGCGAAACAUACCCAAUUCUUCUUCCUCCCCUUUCCCCCAACACCCCCAAUACCAAGUCCAAAAAAAAGGACUCACAACAUACAAGAAUUUCAUCAUCCAGGACUAUUCUCAUCAAUAAAGAAAACAAACGAAAUCAAGAUGUAAAUACCAAAUGGCGAAAAAAUAUUGGUACGAAACACAGUGCUUAAAUUAUACCAAAAAUUUGAACUUCUUCUACCAAGUUUCAAGCUUUAUUCAAUGUAACCAUGAAUCAUAAUCCACCAAAAUUUGCUUUGCCCCCUGAACUCACAGAAGCCCCUUAAGCCUUAUCCAGCUACCCCAGAUAAAUAUUCUAUUCCACUUCCUUUCACCUUCUAUAACUCAAAACAAACAAAGAAAAGAUCAGAAUUUUCAAAAAACAGAUUAAGGCCAUUGCAGAAAAACUCAGAGGUUCGAAGGUCAAUACCAAUACUGAAUUGUCUUAACAGAAAGACUCAAACUUUAUCCAAAUCUCUUCAUGCAAAUAGAUAUUCAAAAGCAACCCUUUUCCUAUUUUUUGCAUACACAUACAAAACAGAGGGAUAAAGAAGAGAAGAUACAUACCAAAAGCACAAAAAAGUUGGCCUCUUGAUCGAGGAAAAACUGGCAAUUUAGUGGCUUCUUCAAUACAAAAGACCAAAGAUAUCCUAAGCUUUUAGCUAAAACAGGGGAGAGAACAGAAAUACUUUGGCAAACAGCAAAGCAAUGGCGUGCUACGAAUCUCUUUUUGCUCUGUUUUCUCUGUUAUGGUUUUGGGUUUGCAAGCUGAGGCAGAAAGGUCUAAAAUGAGGAGAUGAAGAGAAAGGUUUAAGGGGAGGGCUUUAUAUACCGAGGCAAAGGGUCAGAUCCCAUUAUUUAAUGUUAAAUUGCUACUAUAUCAAUAAAUGGAGCUUUUUGUUUUCGUCCGUAUGAAAGUGGACAAAUUAAAUAAGUUGAUUUUUUCUUUUACAUUAUUUUUUUAUUUUCUCUAAUAACAGGAUAAACCUUCCCACGAGACCCACACAAAUAAUAUUCAAGAAAGCAGACUAUCCCCCCGAAAAUAAAUGUUAAACCUAAAUGGCUAAAUAUAAUUAUUUGGAUAGUAAAUUAUUUGAGAUAAUUUUAUGAAAAAAUACUGUAGCAUUUUUUUGAUGUGAUGUAUGUGAGAUAAAAAAGUAAUUGAAAAAUGUGUUGAUGAUACAAGCAAGUCAGUGUGUGUAAAUAAGGUAUAAAUAAUGUGCAUUCCAGACAUACUAUAACACUAAAAAAAAGUUACUUGCUCCUCAAUAACCUGAGUUAAACCUAAAUUUAAGAUUAAAGUCAAGACUUAACUAUUAUAAUUUUUACGAUUGACCCAAAAAAGGCACUUGUAAUAGCUUUAACCACAUUUUUUCUACCACUACUAGCAUUUAAGUUAGGCAUUAAUUUUUAUCUUUUGGUAAAAUAAAUAAUCAGUUGUCUCUUGAAUUGAUCGAGAUUGUAGAGUUGGUGUCAUGCCUUCCUAUCAAUUCGAGUUCGAAUCUCUCUUGAAAUAUAUGUCUGUCACACGGGAUUUGCUUAGUAUGUCUUAUUCCUCUGUAUGGUCAGCGGACUAUUGCACGGGAUUGAAUUUAUUCAGUGCACACUCUCAAAUAACGACUAUCGAUUCCCUUGUUAAUAAAAUAAAUAAAUAAUUAAUUAAUUAGUGUGUGUCUGUGUGUAAAAGUUUUUGUGUGACGUACAAAAGUGGAGCACUUGGCUUUCUUUAUGUAAGAAGAUUAGAGUCCUUCUGGAUAAACACACAUGAUUAUAGCACACGCAAAAGGUAGGCUGUAUUUGUCUUGCCCCGUGGAAUCAGGAUGGGAGGUCAUCCCUUAUUAUCUGGCGUGGCAGCUACGGGGGAGCUUGUGUUCUACGCGUUUUUUGGCUAGGUGUGAAAUCACAAUGCAUGUCCUCAUCAACUAAGUAUUAUCUAUCUUCUUCCCUUUUACUUUCAUUAUUUUAUUAUGUAUGGAUCUUUCCUUUGGCUCUUUUUCAGUUUUCUAGUCUAUAGUAGUUCUGUUGUUUACAUUAUGAAUUUUCAAGUUGGUUUUAAGGAUGCACUAACAUUUUUCUUCUGUAAGUUAAGUGGACCAUUGUUCUAGUUUUAGUGAAGUUUAUAAGGGAAAUCCAAUUUUGUCCUAUUUCGAGUAUGGUCCCGGUAUAUCUUUCGCUUUAUUGGUCAAGAAUUUAAGCCUUAACAUAUUAUUAGUGUAAGAAGUUAAUACUUGUACACGUUUCAAGCCCCUUAAUCAAGACUAGUAAAAUUUUGAUUCUAGAUGUGGGAACAUCUAGAUUUGGCUUUAAUUUCCUUUUCUAGAGAGAGAGAGAGGUAUAGGAAGGUUCAAGAUGGCUAAGGAAUUUGGGAAACAAAAAAGAAAAUGAAUAGUUUUUUUUUUUUAGAUAUUUAGGUUAGUUUUGUUGUUGUUGUUUAUUAUAGGGUCAAAUACAAUUCGAGCUCAUGUAAAAUGUGGUCUCUCAAAUUUUAAUGAUUUUCUUGUUGUUUUCUUUUGUCUACUUUGGUAAUAUCAAUAAGGGUUUUUUCUUAACCAGUGUUCAAGAGGCACUUGUUGAUAUACCUAUAUCACACCUAACUUAUCAUGGAAAUAUACACACUAACAAUUAUUGCUUUAUAUAUAUAUAUAUAUUAAUUGACUUUAUUUUUAAAAAAUUUUGAAACAUAAACUAUAUUUUAAUGAAUGUCCCAUGAAAACAAUAAAAAAGUUAGACGGAUAUAAAGCUCCAGUUAAAUGCUUGACAACGUGUCCCUUGGAGGAAUAACUGUUUGAUACCUGUGCUAUGCUUAAGUGGAAGUGAUCAAUGAAAAGUUAAGCACCACAAAAAGCAAAAUCGGUGAAGCAUUACCAUAAUUUGUAGGAGGUCAUUAAAUUAAAGGAUUAAUUUUUUAUACACUUACAGUGUAUAUACUUUCAUUAUUAGAUGCAUGACAUAUAAUUCAAAUUUGAAUUUAAAACUCAAAUUUUACAUAUAUAUCGUACAUCUCAUUAUAAUAGUGUGUGCACCGUCAGUGUAUAUAAAAUUUACUCAAAAUUAAAUAUUCUAAAAAGCAGCAUUGACUCUUGUGGAAAAAUGAUGGAUUGAAAGGUUAAGCACCACACAAACAAAAGUAGUUAAGUAUUACCAUAACUCGUAAUUUGUAACUAAAUUACAUGCUCUAAACUGCAGGUUAAAUUAGUUCCACAGCAUAAGGGGACAAUAUUGUAUGGAAAAGUCCUUUUUUUUAAUUUUUUUUUUUUUUGUAAUAGAAGAGGAAUGAGAUUUAAGAAGCGAGGAGGAAGAAUAAGUAUUCAAAUUCAUGACCUCUAAGUUUUGAUAUUUCAACUUUAAGCACUAUAGCAAGACCUCUUCGACAGGUAAAAUCAGUUACGUAUACAUAUAUAGCUGUAUUUCGUGUUAAUUAUUUGAAAUUAUUCUCCUCCUAUUAAUACAUAUCUAUAAUUUUGGUCUAAGUGUUUGAUAAUUCAAACGUUUUACCUUGUAAACUGGGUUCAAUAAGUACCCCCAUAAAGUAAUUAACCGCGUGAAAGGUGAAACAUGAUGAUGUUUAAAGUUAAACUGUUAGCGGUGGUUUUACCUAAAUUUUUUUUUUUUUGGCAUCUAGGCAAAAGGGAUAAGAACGCACUAACUGUAAAUUAGGUGGCUAGUCAUAUUACAGUAAAAUGCACGAUAAUUGUGCGGUAAUUUAAAUUUUAUCUGUUGAGAAGCACGCUAUAAACUCAAAUUUCAUCUUUUUAACGUUUAAUGCAAGACUUAGACAAAUAUUCAUGGUUCAUGGCAGUCCUAAUUUAGACUUGCAACUUUUCACUUAUAUAAAAUCAAAAUGGACCCCUUUAUUAAUUUUCACUUGGGAACUGAUUUACUUACUUUAACUACAGGGAAUUGAUAUAGGUGGAAGAUCCCAUACAGCAAUUGUUUAAUCGUUUAUGGGAUUAUCGAAUCGAAAACAAAGUAUACUGCCACUCUUUGUCCCAGACUGCUGCAGCACUGAGCUAGUAUUUCCACCAAAAAUGGAUAAAUUACUUAUUACCUCCUAUAGUUUUAUAUAAUAUCAGAUGGCUUCUUAAAAUUUUAACAUAACCCUCCUAUCGUUUAUUAUAUAAAGUGAAAAAUGGACGGAAUAGACAAUCGAUUACAAUGUUUAUACCAAACGUGCUCUAAAAGUGUGUGUGAUAAAAUUUUAACAUCCAUGCGACCUCUUUAUGAUUUGUAUAAAUAUCCAUUUUAUCUCUCUGUGAUUUUUGCAUGAAUAAAUUCAUGUAAUCUCCUUAUGUUUUUAUACAAGGUGGUUAAACCGUCAAUUGAUUUAGCAUUUAAAUAAGGAUACUAUUAGUAUUUCAACUAACGGUGGAGUACAUAGGAUAUUUUUCAUCAAAUUUUCACUUUUCAUAAAAUUAUAGGGGGUGAAGUGGAUAUUUUGAAAUGUUAGAAAGAUCAUGUAAUAAUAGAUAAAACCACCACGGGGGAUUAUAUGUAAUUUACCCCUACAAAAUAAUGCUCCAACUAGUUAACCAAGUGACACAUUUUUCUUAUGUUGCGAUAAAAGUGUGAGACAAAGAGAUAAACACUAGGAGCAUCAUCUUUUGCAGUUCUCUAGAAAAGUCCACGUAAUUAAACUAUUGGCAGUUGUCAUUUGUUAAUUAACAGAAGUUGAUGUUUUACAUCUAUAAUUAAUUAUAUACGUAAUCAAACGAGUGAACCGGAAAAAUCUAAGUCGUAUUCCUUUUUCAGCACUACAUAUUUUUUUGGCUAAUUUUGUCAAACAUGAAUUACAAAAAAAAGGGUAAACAUAGAGCAUUAGAAGCAUCCGUUUGUUUAAAAGAAGUUACGAGUUAUAAUAUACACGAAUAGCUCAAUAACCAAAUGAUCCAUAUGGUAAUGUUAAUAAUUCCUUUAUCUCUUAAUCUCGAUUAGGAUAGCUUUUGAUUUUUUUUUCAUUUUUUUUUUAAAAAAAAUAUAAAUGACUGAGUCAUGAUUUAAGUAAUCACUAAAUUCGCAUCCUUCCAUCCUAAAAUGAAAAUCGCUUCAUAUAUAUAAGAUUGAAUAAUAAUGGUACAAAAUAAUAAAGGGUAUGCAUCAAAAGUGCAAAUUUGACGUGAAAGGUAUGAAUUCAGCCAAUUCCAAGUACUUAUAUUGAUAAAAAUCUAUGUCACUUUCCCUUAACCCUUUAAGGGUUUUCUCGUGCUUUGAAAAGUUCAUAUACUUCGUGAACCUUUUGAAUCAAGAGCAGAAACACAAUUUGGUUUUUAAUUAAUCUUGAUGUCAUCAAGAUUAAGAAAUAAAAAAAAAUUAAAAUGGCGCGUGAACUCCCAGCGCAUUUUGGUCAAAUUAUAAACCGUGACACGCAACUUUUCAUCUGAGUCCCUUUGUUGAAUUUCUUAGUUUUUGACAAUAAAAAUGGCCACUGCAUAAAAUGCUAAUUUUGACGGACCCUUCAACGGGGUAGAAUAUAACGUUUACCAGGAACAGCACGGUCAAAACGAAUCAUCAAAUCCAUAAUAAUUUCAGCCACAAAAAUUUAAAAUAGUGUACCAAAAAAUCUGUUAAAAUUGAAAGGACUUUGCAUAUUCAGUCUUGAUCAGAAGUUGAAAAUCUGUUAUUCAAUUUAUAGGGAGUUUAGUCACGGGGCUUAUUUUGUCAAGAUCUUGUGCUGAAGUUCAUGAGGGUUGAUCAGCCAAUUCGUCCAAUUUUUGGACCAAAAUUCUUAGUCCAUUUAUGUACUUUUGUACCUCUGUUUUUCUCAAUCAUUCAUUCAGUAGUUAGUUUGAGAAUAUUUUAUUCCUAGUCAAAAUUCUUCUUCGCCGGUUCAUCUAAUUCUUCAACCUACAUCACUAGAUAUCUUUAAUUCUUUUGACUGUUCAUACUUUUUCUUUGGCUGAUUACUAGUCAAUAUAUUUGAAUCUUGGGAUAGCAUCCAGUUCAUGCGAUUCUUAUUGAAUGGAAGUUUUCGUUUUUUUUUUUUUAUAAAAUAGAAGGAAGAAGGAAAUGGGAAAGGAGAACCGGAAAAUUCAAAUGAAACAGAAGGUCUUAGCAGUCGUUUGUAAUCAUUAAUUUACUUUUACAGAAAAGGAACUUAGAAAAUUGUAGACUUGUAGAAAUGUUCUAGAUUCAAUUUGAAUUGUUAUUGUAGACUUGUAAAACCAUUCUAGAUUCAAGUAAAAUUUUCUCGAUUCUCAAGCGAUGGAUAGGAUACUACGAGUUUUGCCUUUGCAAUUUGGAAGCAUAUUAAUACCAAAAAAAAAAAAAAUCUUAUAUACACUAACAGUGUAUACACUAUCAUGGUCAAAUACACGACACAUAUGCAAAAUUUGAGUUUCAAAUUCAAACUUGGAUUAUAUGCCACGCAUCCAAUGUUGAAAGAGUAUACACUGUCAGUGCAUAGAUGAUUAAUCUAAAAAAAAAAAAAAGCAAGUCACUUUGUAUUAUCAAUAUACGCAAUGAAUAAAGUAGAAUGUAAAUCUUAAUUUAAGAACAUAUUUAAACUCAGCUGGAUCAUACUCAUUAAAAAAUCUUGAGCCACUUUAAUGCAUCAAUUUUGUCGAAAACAACGGGAAAGUCGGCAAAUUUUCGAUAAGUGCAACCUUUAUUAAACGUAAAAAUACAAAGUUUCUAAUCCUCCUUUCAAAGAAGUAGUUAAAAUAUAUGAUAUAAUCCACAAGAACCGGUAAACGUUGAAUGAUGGAGGUAGGGACGGGACGGCGGUGCAAGGCGGCUUAUUUGCAGAACCCGGUAACCUCCCUGCCUUGCCCGGCCCCUAAUUAUUUAUUCCUCCAUCAUUUCUCUUUCCAAACAGACACGAAAAUGGUUAAAACUCCCUCUUUUUCCUCCUUAUACACUACCCAAGAUAAUGGUGAAAAAAAAAGAAUAACAUGUAGUGUAGUGUGGAUUUAUAUAGGCCCCUCGGGCACAGAUCCACUGGCUAUGGAUAACCUUAUUAGGCUUCAGGUCGUGUGGUCGAUUCUGCCUCUCCUACCGUCUCGUGUAUCCUUGAGGGCAGGGUGCACGGGUACAAGAAGAUUAGUCUGGCAAAAGUUGGGACAUUCCCUAUGUUGCCAAAAAAAAAAGAAAAAGUGUGGAUUUAUAUAGGAUGGCUUCCUAAUGUAUCUCCCAAUUCCAAUAUAAGAAGACGAGUUAUUUAAUUUCCUUUUUUGAUGAAACACCAUGCAUGAGAACAGAUAAUAGAUAAUUAAUCCUAACACUAGAAGAUGGCCCUUUUGGAUGAUAAAUAUCUUGGCUACUGACAUAUUCAGCACAAAUCAACCUUGGUGUCAUGGAGCCGGAGAUGGAAGCUGCAGCCUUUCAAUUUGACGUAAUGAUAUUUCACUUUGAUACAAGAAACCUAAGUUGUUUUGCUAAAAUUAGAUAAACAAAAAAGUGGCUUUAUUAUAUCUGUUAUCUAACUAUAAUUCGUUCUGACCGAUCACCUCACGAAUUGGCAAAUAAAUUAAGAGAAAUGUUAUUCGCACUCCAUUUUUUCUUAUUUGCAUUGUCACAAUUUGUUUUAUUAUAUGAUGUAAUAAAUGAAAACUGUAUAAUUAAAAUAAUAGUGGGAUUGUGAUUAACAAAAAUGAGAGUACAAAUAACAUUUCUCUGAAUUUAAAUGUGAACUAAUAUUAGCUUUUGUUGCCUUGAAGACCAUUGCUCAAACCAUUUUUCGUGCUGCUAUUAUAUUUCAAAUACAAAGGCUACAAGUCUACAUGACCUUACGCAUGGAUUUGACUUUAGGUGAUAAUGAAGAGGAAGCACGAGCGAGCAAGCAAAGAAAUGGAGAUAAGGUAUUCCGUGAUUAGUUUACCAGCUAAUAUCCAAUGUAACAGUUGAGCAAAUCCUGAUCUGAACCAAGACUUUUCUGCUUCUGACUUCCCUAAUUAAAUACUGCCCGGAAUCUCUCACUCGCAGUUUGCCCCAUCCUUAGAACUUUUUCUCAAGUUACAAGCACAUAGCAUCAUUUGACUCUGCUAAAUUUUAUUGAUUGUUUAAGGAAAGUCAAAUUUAUUAUUAGCUCUUAAAGGCAUUCUUUUUUUUUUUUAUGAGUACAAAAAAUUAUUACUUUCGUACUGUAUAAUUUAGGUUGUUAAUAACUCAUAAAAUAUGGAAAGAACAAAUUAUGAAUUGCUUUACAUGUUCUGAUGUUUUGUUGCAAAUUAAAGUAAAUAAGAGCGCAAUCUUUUUCUAUGAUAAAAUUACAUGCAUGAGUUAUAGCAAAGGUAACUGUAAUUUUCAGCUUUCCUGGAUCAUAAAUUGCAAAUUGCAUGAAUCCUAACAUCUCAAUGCUGCAAUCCCCCAUUAUUAUUUCGAAACGACAAGAUCAACAUGUGAUUUAGUUGACAUUGACGGGUCUAUUGAUGUUCUCAACACCAGCUUCGAUAUGUUGGGCACUUCAAUCCUCAGCACUUUCAUCCGCCGAAGACAGGAGGGGCCAGUGGCCAUCGGCUGCUGAUAAAAUCAUGUCUGAUGAGGACAAAAGUCUGUGCUUAUCAUCAGAUAAAAAGGGUUCAGGAAUUACCUAAAAACCAAAAAGUGGAGUCAUUUUGUUUCUCUAAUUGUCUAGCCACAGAACCAUCUAAUCUUAUUCGUGUUGGCUGACAGUCAUAUCUAUGAUCCGUAGACUUGGUAUUCAUGAAAUGUCUUAUAUCCAAUCAAAUUCCUCACAAAUGGAACUCUUACGCAUGCAACGUCCUUGCGCAUUAAAAAAGGACCCAGAAAUGCCAAUAGAGAAUUGUAUCUCCAUCUUCUAAGGCACGAUACACUGUUUAUUUUCACCCCGUAAUAGAAAAUCGAAAAAGAGAAAGCAGAAAAGUGUCAAGAAAGAAAAAAAAUACUACAACUUAGAUAUGUUUUCAUGUGUCAUAAUGUGCUUCCAAAAUCAUGUUUUAGCAUUUGAAAAGCACAUUUCUAGAUAGUAGAUAGUAUUUGCCCACAGGAAUUAGAACAAGGGGCUGCCUAGGUAUAUUACAAAGCAACAAAGUUGAUACGAAAAGUACUAAGAACACGUAUAUAUUUCGUUUUGAUAAAGUUAAACCAUGUUAGUAUAUAGUAUUUGUCCUUGAACUAAGCAACAAAAGUCUAUGUCCGUGGCAACAAGAAAAGUUAAAGAAGAAAGAGAGCAUAUGGUUAUGGGAAAAUGGGCAAUGGCAAGGGCAUAGGGAAUUGAGAAUUUGCUAUUCUUUUCUUUUCUUUUUCAAGAAUGGGGAAAGGACUAAAGAGGCUUUGGUGCAUAAUUUAUUUGUUAACAAACCGGCUGCCGAUAGUUGAAAAACUAGUUUAGCUGACCCAUGAAACAAGGGGUGUCCAUCCAUGAGUGUAUGUUUAGUCAAUCUCCAGGUGGAAUUCAAUAAAAAAAUCAAAAACUUUGAAUCUUAAACUAUGAGUGGAAAUGAAAAAAUUGAAAAAGCUGUUUCUGAUAUCUUCACACCUUGCUCCUCUUGGGUGCAUGCAAACUUGAACAGUGAUAAAUUUAUUAGCUGAUGUGAAACUCAACUAAUUAACAGGGUUCUCGUUUUCAUGUAAAAAUGAUGAUCAGUUUGGGCCAAAUUUGGUUUUUGAUUUUACCCAACGUGGAAAAGAGUUGAAAUUUUUUUCUUUUUAUAAAGAAAAAAAACAAAUUUUCUCUGCAAUUUCAAUCUCCAUCAGCAAGGAAUUAUCAUUCUUUUCUAGUGUACAAAGAAGCAUAAGGGCCUUUGAAAAGAUUACCAAUGGAAAUGACAGUGUGCACAUUUUUACACUCUAUUCUUGGCUUUUACUCUUUAACACGGCCCAUUAUUAUGGUAUAUCCUCUUCAACUCUUGAAUCUAGUAUCAUAUGCUACUAAACUCUUGUGACAUCUGCAACCUCCAUUAUUUAAAAAACUAAUUGUGCAUCUGUUUUCUAGUGUACAAGAAAGUAUAAUGUCCUUUCAAAAGAUACCAAAUCUAAAUGGUGAUAUGCAUAUGCUCAAUGACGGAGCCAGGAUUUUUUGCUUGGGGGGGCCAAAAUUUUUUUGAACAAAAUUAUUUUAAUAUGUUAUGUUUAAAAUAAUUUUCAUUUAUUUAAAUAUAUGACAUUUUAAAAUAUCAAAUAUUAAAUUUAAUUAUAAAGGUAUGUCUAUUUCAUAAAUAUGUAGCAUAGUCAUAACUAAAAUUAAGACAAGAAAUAACCUUUGAUUAAAUAUCUUAUAACAUCACAAACCACCUAAAUUGCACAUUAUGAGAAGAUACUCCAAUAUGUCACUUGUGCAAAAACAAAAAUAUAACUAUGCAAUAUAAAUAUAACUAUUUUCAAUUAAAAAGAGAUAAAAAUUAUGUUAACAUGCCUUGAAAUUUCAUCCUCUUUUAUUAAACGUAAAUUGAGCUUUACGUUCUUUCAUAGAACUAAAUUCAUCUAUAAUUGAAUCAAAGCUAAAUUUUCGAACAACUUCCUCUUUUUAUGUACAUUGUUAGGCAAUCAUUCAAGAAAUUAUCAUUUAUCUUGUUUUGGAGUUUUGUUUUGAUUAUCUUCAUAAUUGAAAAUAUCCAUUCUAUAGACUAUAGAACGAAGCCAGGAUUUUUUCCUUGGGAGGGGGGCCAAAAUUUUUUUUAACAAAAUUAUCUUAAUAUGUUAUAUUCAAAAUAAUUUCCAUCGAUUUAAAUAUAUGACAUCUUAAAAUAUCAAAUAUUAAAUUUAAUUAUAAAGGUAUGUCUAUUUUGUAAAUAUGCAGCAUAGUCAUAACAAAAAUUAGGACAAGAAAUAGCCUUUGAUUAAAUAUCUUAUAAUAUCACAAAUUAUCCAAAUUGUACAGUAUGAGAAGAUGAUCUAGCUAAUACGUCACUUGUGCAAAAACAAAAAUAUAACUAUGCAAUAUAAAUAUAACUAUAUUCAAUUAAAAAAAAGAUAAAAGUUAUGUUAGCAUACCUUGAAAUUUCAACCUCUUUUCUUAAAAGUAAACUAAGCUUUACAUUAUUUCAUAGAACUAAAUUCAUUUAUAAUUGAAUCAGUGUUAAAUUUUUGAACAACUUCCCUUUUUUAUGUAUAUUGUUAGAUAAUCAUUCAAGAAAUUAUCUUUUAUCUUGUUUUGGAGCUUUGGUUUGAUUAUACUUAUAAUUGAAAAUGUCCGUUCUAUAGUUGUAGCUGAUACAUGAAGAGUGAAAACAAAUAUAAUCAAUCUGUCAACAAUAGGAUAGAUCACUCAAUUUCUUGUCUUCACUAAGCCUUCAAGCAAUUAUUUGUAUAUGUGUCAACAAGAGGAUAAAUCACUAAUUUUAAUUUUUGUUUUAUCAAUUAGGGUAAGUUGUAUAUUUGUAUAUGGACCAAUAAAGUAAUUAUUUUUAUUUUAGCCAUUCAUAAUUAUGAAUUGAGUCUUUUAUUAUAAUAUAUCAAAUUGGGUCAAUUUACUAUGGAUCAUCAAAUUAUAUGUUUAAUUUUUUGAAUGUUAUAUAAUUAGCACAAUAAAAAAUAAAUAACUUUUUUGAAGAAAAAAAUUAAAUCAAAGGUGGCUAAUUCACACACACACACACACACACAUAUAUAUAUAUAAAAACUCUCAUAAUAUAAAUUAAAAUUGUAAAAAUUUAGGGGGGGUCAACUUUGUCUUAUACAUAUAUUUACAUACUAUGAAUUAAAAAUUUCAAAACUUAGGGGGGGCCAUGGCCCCCUCAGCCCCCCCUUGGCUCCGUCAUUGCAUAUGCUCACAAUCUAUUCUUGGCUUUACUUUUGAACAUGGUCCUACAUAUGUGGAAUAUUUUCUACUGAAUUCUUUACAUAUGUAUAUCUAUGCUGCUGAAUUCGUGCGACAUUUGCAAUCUUGAAUAUAUGCUAAUGCCGGAAUAGGAUUGAAGGACAUCUAUACUUGGGUAGAGGUAAGGUGUCAAAUGGUAUCCAAGCCAGAUUUUAUUGGUCAUCAAAAAGUAAAAAAAAAAACCAAAUGGUAAGCAUAUACUGGGAGUCAUCUUUGGUAUAAGGUGUAGUGACUAUAUAGCUAGGUAUCAUUAAGUAAUUUAUUCAAUUAAAAUAAACUAAGUUGAUCUAUUCUCCUAAAAAUAAAAACGAAGUUUGAUGUUGUAUUAACUCAUUUUGUGUAUUACAUAGCUAUUUUGUAAACCCUGUAAUUGGUGCAGCAAAACAUUCAAGCCUCAUGUCCAGCUGAAUUUCGAUUAUUUGAUUGGGAUAAUUAGAUUAUGAUGAUAAAUUCUUGGAUUCAAUUCUAUGCAAUAUGUCCUGCGUACAAUUUUGUGACUCACAGAGAAGUGAAAACCCCAUAGUCCAUAGCAACCACAAAUAUGCUUAUAAUUCAAGAGCAUCGUAUAGAUGCUUAUAAUAAGUACUUUUCUUCGGAGGGUUCUUCAAUAACCUAUGUAGUUCUUUCACAUCAAUAGCUUGCAACAAGUGAUAGACUCCACUAUUACCCCAUCUAGAAAAAGUUGAAAAUUAAAAUUAAGUGGUGAAAUAAUUAGCUAUUCUAAUUUCUUCCACAGAGUACAUAUGUUGCAUCAAAUUUUUUUUUUUUCAGAAACAAAAGAAAAAUGUCCACAAAUUCGACAGAAAUUCAUCUUAAAUGUAGGCAAGAAAUUGAGGUUUCUUUCGCUUAAGUUGAAUUUUCUUGGAUAAGUGUUCAAGUUUAGUGUCUCUUUAUAUACGUCCUUAUGGCUAUCCUAAAUUAGUUAGUGAAAUUUAAUGGAAUCUAUGUGAAUUUGCACGAGGAGCCCGCUGAAAGUGAAAGGGCUAAUGAACCUUUAUUUUCUUUGGAUGAAACCAAGUCAAAUGGACUAGAGUUUUGAUGCUUUUUGCAAGCAUCAAUUAUUGUGACAAAGGCACAAUAUUCUUUUGAGGUGUAAAUAAAUUUUUGAUGGAUUAAUGCACCCAUUCUUUUUCUUCCUUUUGAGUUGGUUGUCAGUUCAGACUUGGUAUUUUUUGACCUCACAACAGAUUGAAAGAGUCCAAAAGUAUCUUGUAGUCAUUAAUUUGAUGCAUAUGAAGAAAUUGUGUGAUGGAUAUGCUUUCGCCUAAUUAAUUUGCAUGAAAUUAGAUUUUUGAACUAGUCAACAGAAAAUAAAUCACUGUUAUGUCUGGUGAAUAUAAAACAGCGAUUUUAAUUAUACGAAAAAACUGGAUCACAAAUUCAUGAUUUGGGCACUAAUUCUUUCUUUCUUUUUUUUUUAGGGAAGAAAAGCAAACAGGAAAAGGUAUACCACCAAACAGAAAUAUCAUGCUCAUUCUUGGGUGAAAAAAAAGAAUUACAAUGACCUUGGACUUGGUGCAAGUGUGUGUAGAAGCCUAUUUCUUGUGCUGAUUGUUACUAUUCCAUGUACUUCUGCUGAAAAUUUGCCGACCAUUUUCUUGUGCAUUGGAGAACUAGGAAGAAUUGAAAAGUUUGACGAACAAUUAAUUAAUUUGCCAUACACAGUGCUUUAGACUUCAGCUAAAAGGUGAAUACCAAUGUUUGUGGUUGAAAUGCAUGAAUACUCAAUAGCUAUCUUUUCAAGAAUUCAAGUACGUUGGUCCUUAUGUUUUUUUUUUUUCUUUGCGAGGAACAAAUGCUUCACAAUCGGUCCCUUAAUUACGCGAUCUUGGAACAAGAAUUUUGGUGUAAUACAUCGUUUUCUUAGACAAGUUGGAUGAUAACAAACUCAGUCAUUGCCAACUCUUGAUUAAGUCAUAAGCCGAAAGUAUUGCUAAAAACAUACUUGGUAAUUGCUUGGAAUGAUAGCGAACCAUGGAAGAACCUGCCCUCUUACUCCUAUGGGGAUGACAACAGAUCCACCAAAUCGCCAAUCAUUUAUUCAACCUUCAAACAUUAGUUUGAAUUUCUAUUCUUUACUGAAUAUUGAGCCAGCAUAUUGCUGACUAGUAUUUUUUUUGUUACUUAAAUCAAUUUUCUAUGGUUACAUUUUUUUAGGUAUGUAAUUCGUGAGUAUCAAAUAAGUCAUCACUAAAAUCUAUUUUCAUCAACCACGAUAUAGUUUGAAUAACUCGUAGCCAGAUAUUGUUGUUUAUACCAAACGGUUCAAACCCGUUUGGUUAGCAUGAUUUGUUAAAAAACAAUUUUUAAUAUUAUGUAACUCAAUUUUCAAUUGCUUUUUUAUCUCAUGCAUAUCAUAUCACAAAAAGUGCUAUAAUAUUAUUUUAAAUAUUUUUUUUGCAAAUAAAUCUCCUGUCCAAAGAAAUUAAUAAACCGACCAUACCAUCAAUCUUAUCUUGGUCAGUACAUUGUCGUAUUAAUAAAACAACUGGUCCGCAUACAUGUUUUAUCAACUCCCCUACAUGAUAUUUGAGUGGAAAAAAAGCAGCUAGGGUAAAUAUUUAAAUCAAAUGUCGAAUCAACUACUACAAUUUUGUCCUUUUAUUUGAUCUUUUCUUAUGCCACCAAUUCAAAUAAAAUAAUAACAGCUUUGACUUUUCUAGAACUGAUUAAUCAACUAACCGACCCUCUGUUUUCUGGUACGAAUUAGCCUAUAACUUAAGUAGGACCCUACUUAGAAAACGUUAUACUUAUACAUACCACGCUAUACAGACGUACCUAUUUUAUUGAUUACAGCUAAGAUUAAGAUAAUUUUAAUCGGCAAAUGAUGUCAAAGAGCAAUUGGGAUGUUGAUUCAGGGAGAUAAAUUAUUUAUACAAUCCAAAAAAGAUAGAACAAAAGGGAUCUCACGGAGCUAAUUGUUGUUUAGUUGGUAGUAAUCUUCCUGUGUGAACCAUAGAAAGUUCAGUAGCAGCCGCUAAUGGAACCUAAAAGAGAAUUAAGUUCUAGAUAAUGUCCUCAAUUAUUUUUAAUUGUUGAUUUAUAUCAUGAUUAAAAGCCUGUUUGAUCAGAAUUCUGAUACUGUGGCACAUGUCACUAAUGGCGAAUUAUGUACAUCAUAGUUUAUGAUCCACCGACUUGCAAGAAUCCAAGACUCUUUCACCUCUGAUUGGUAUUGAUUAAUUACUGAUCUCAGUGCAUGAUUAUGACACUCAAAAUGAUUAAUGUAACUUUGAACAAUUUCUAGCAAUUUCUGGUGUCCGAAAGGCAAAUUUUGGUGCAGGUCUUUUUAUGGAAGCCGCCCCGCUAGUUAAGAGUCCUAAGCACGCAAGCAAACAAACUAUCUGGUCAAAAUGCAGCAUGGCCAUUAAUUCUUUCUUGAUCGAUCUAUUAUUCCAAAUAAACAAACAUGUUAUAUAAGCUAUUUGGAGUGAGCUCUCACUACAGUACUAAGCAAGAGUGAUUUUUUUUUUUUACUGAGAAUAGAUUUGAAAUGAACAGUUAAUGUUUCAAUAAUUUACAAGUUGUUAGGUUUAGCGUUCAAAUCCUGUAUCGAACAGUUGAAAAUGGAGAAGAUGUGUGGAAUGGUGGGAGGUCAAAAAAAAAAAAAGUUAAGAACAAAGUUGCUUAACUUACCCGGAAAAAAAUAUUUACAAGUUGUUUUCAACUUGGACUAAUCUUCUUUUGACCAUGGAAGAGAAUGUGGUAUAUUUCGCCUCGUUUGACUAAUAAAUAUUUUAAAUGAUUGGUUGGUGUUCCCAGUUUUUUUUCACACUAGGCCAAAUUAUGCAUACAUUGAACAAAUUGAUUUAAUUCAAACAUGGAGUACUAGGAUAUGAUCCAUAGAUACGAUGUUUAAUAAGCUCAAUAUUCGUUUGUAAUUCCAACAUGCCCUAAUUAACAGUGUUUGAAAAACAUAUCGUAAACUUUGUUUCCAUUUUUUUUUAUAUAUAAUUUAACUGGUUGUGAACAUAAAUCAUAAAAUCUAAACAACCAAGAAUAUCUUUUAGUCAACCCCAGUAAUUAUGUCCAAAAGUUCUUAUCAUCAUGAGAGAGAUGGUAAAUUAUACACUGAAUCAUGGACCAUGUCCAUGUUAUCAUUUUACUUUUUCUAAGCAUUUUAAACUUAAUUAAUCUUUACCUUAUCGUAGGUUGGGUUAAGUAAUUUCAUAGUGAAUCAUUUAAUUGGGACAUUUCUUAGUGCCAAAAGAGAAAAAAAAAACAUGAUAAAUAUGCCAAGUUGUGACUUCUGAGUCUAAAGGCCGGAAUGGGGUAAUUCCUUGGAGGACUGCUGCUCUUAAUAUAUAUUAGUCAAUACACCAUCAAAUCCAUUGACUAGAUUAACUGUUUGAUGAGUAAUUGACUAAUGAAUUUAAACGAUGAUAGCAAGAUUAGGGUACUAGUACACUAUUCAUUUCAGAAAACGGGGAACUUAUGCUUGCUAUUUUUCAAACUAUUAGAUCUUUUGGUGUUUGUUUAGAUGUUGACAAGUCUUAUGAGAUGAAUGUUCACACCCUUAAGGCUUCAAUGUUUACCGGCAUUGGAAACUCUAUUACAAAAUUGUCACCAAUAAUAUGGCAAUCUGUCUCUCUAGAGUAAAGCAUGCAUGCAAGUAAAAUUGAAGCCAGGAUUUAAUAAGUAGCACAAAGAUUGAAAUUGGAAAUCAUGCAAUUCACGUAAUGAAACCCUUUGCAACGUUUGCUUGAAGCUUCUCAAUCAUUCGGCAGAUGGUUAAUGAUUGUGCAAAUAAAAAUGUUGCAAGAAAUUUCAACUUUUUAUGUACCAAAAGGGGAUGAAAAAUAAUCGAUUCCUUCAAAACAAACAGUUACAAAGAAAACCUACCAAAAAAAGAAAUGUCAAUAGUAACAAUCGAGUCAUGGGCAUAUCUUUACAAACAAGUCAUAGGUUUGUCGCAUUACGCUGCCUUAACUCGAUCAAUACGUACCCAAACUGAGAACAGGUUUAUGUUGAAAACACAGAAGCCACUCUGAACUUUCAGCAAUUUUGUGCUUAUCCAAUGAAAACCAAAACAUAAUUAGGAAAUCAGGAAAUCAGAUUACAGUAUUACACACAGAUCCUCUUAACAUCACUAUAACACUCCUCCCUAGCAAUAUAUUCUUGGAACUCUACAAAUACAUGCUAUAUCAAAAUUUUGGUAGGGAUCCCCCACUCCACCAACAUCCUCCAAUGCUCCUUAGUCCUAGGAAUCUUACCCCAAGAAACGGCAGAAAAGUGUCGAAAAAAUUAAACAACACUGACAACCUGGAUCUGUUUCCAUGUGUCAUAUAUGUUCAGUAUAGCUUGUAAUGUGCUUCCAAAAUUAUGUUGUGGCAUUUUAAAAACACAUUUCUAUAAAUUAUUUAUCCACAGGAAUUAGAACCAACAGGCUGAUUAGGCAAUAAUAUAUAUAAUAAAGUUGCAUUGAUGGUUUCGCCUGCCACAUACUAAAAGUACUAAGAGUACAUAUACAUUUUGUUUUGAUAAUAAACCACAUUAGUAUGUACUAGUAUUUGUCGUUGAACUAAGAAGCAGCAAUGCAUGUCUCUGGCAACAAGAAAAUUUAAAGAAAGAAGAAAGAGAGAAUAUGGUUAUGGGGACAUGGGCAACGGCAAGGGUAUUGGGAGUUGAGAACUUUCUUUUCUUUUUCAAGCAUGGGGAAAAGAGAUUUUGGUGCAUGAAUUAUUUGUUAAUUAAGCGGCUGCUGAUGUUUAAGAUAGUUUUAAAACAUUCUUUUAGCCGUUCCAUGAAACAAGGGGUAUCAAACUAUAUAUGUGUGUUCAAGUAGUCAACGUGUAAGUGGAAUUCAAUUUGGAGGAUGAAUACGGAAUCAACUAUAAAUUUUUUUCAAUAAAAUUCAGAAAUAAUGAUCAGUUUGGUACAAAUUCGAUUUUGUUUUUAUCCCAGACGGAAAAGGAUUAAAAUUUGUUCUCGUUGGUAAGAAGAAACCAAAUUAGAAUAGCUAUAUGCAUAUCCUUACAAUUACAAUCUAUUCUUGACUUUACUUUUUAACACUGUCCUAUACAUGUGGAAUAACCUCUCAACCCUCCCUUGAAUCUAGAAAUAUCUGCUACUGAAUUCGUGUGACAUUUGCAAUCUCAAUUAUUCGCUUGGUCCUUCAUUUUUGACACUGAGAAGGGAAAAUUGACUUCUUCCUUUAACUGAUGUUACAGGUUGAAUGCUAGGCUACAAUGAUAGUAUCCUGUACCUGAAUCGAGAAUUGAAGGACAUAGAGUUCGGUGAAUGGUGGGUGACCAAAUGGUAUCCAAGGCACAAAUUAUGGGUGAAAAAUGCAUUAGAACGAAAUGAUUCGCAUUUAUACUGGGAGGCAUCUUCUAAAAUUCUGAAAGGGAAAUGGAAUUAUCCUAAGUUCUAAUAUGCUAAUUUAUAAUCGAUCCAACACGCUGUCUGUAAGAUGUAGUAAAUGCAUACGGAUCAUCCUAAGUUUCAUCUUUCGAGGUUCUUUAUCGUAUUAACACUUGAUAGACUCCACUAUUACCCCAUCUAGAAAAAGUUGAAAAUUAAAAUUAAGUAGCUAUUCUUAGUUCUUCCACAGAUUAGAUAGAUAUGUUGCAUCACAUUUUUUUUUUCAGAAACAAGAGAGAAAAGUAAUCCACAAAUUCUGCAGAUCUUAAAUGUGGGCGAGAAAUUGAAGUUUCUUUUGCUUAAGUUGAAUUUUCUUGGAUAAGUGUUGAAGAUUAGUGUCUCCUUACAUAUAUAUAUGAACAUGGAGUAAUUAAAGGAAGGUUCCAUGCACCUUUUUUUGACGAUUAUGGCUAUCAUUGAUUCAGAACCAAAAUUAGUUAGUGAAAUUUAAUGGGGUCUACGUGUGUUUGCACGAUGAGCCCGCUGAAAGUGAAAGGGCUAAUGAAUCUUUAUUUUCUUUGAUAGAAAACAAAUCGAAUGGAGUGGAGUUAUGAUGCUUUUUUCAAGCAUCAAUUAUUGUCACAAAGGCAGAAUAUUUUUUUUUUGAGGUGUAAAUAAAUUGUUGAUGCAUUAAUGUACCCAUUCUUUUUCUUCUUUUUUAGUUGGUUGUCAGUUCACAGUUGAUAUUUUCAACCUCACAACAGGUUGAAAGAGUCUUAAAAGUGUCUUGCAGUCAUUAAUUUGAAGCACAUAUAAGAAGAAGUUGUGUGAUGGAUAUGGUUUCGCAUAAUUGAUUUGAUUGGAAUUAAAUUUGAACUAGUCAAGAGUUAAUAAAUCAUCUUUAUGUCUGGCGAAUAUGGGACAACUAUUUUAUAAAAAAAAAAAAAAAAAACUGGAUCACUAAUUCAUGAUUUGGACAGUAAUUCUUUUUUGAUUAUUUUCUAGGGAAGAAAAGGGUACAGAAAAAAAAAAAA